rnacentral:lncRNA from 1 species
UUUUUUUUUGGUGAGAGAAAUGGUGAAAAAGUAGCAUUCAGGCAGGCUGUGUGAGCCACACAGAUGAUCAAAGGCCAACCACAACAAGACAAUUAUAACUCAAUUGCUCAAAAGUAGUGCAGAGCACACAAGAAAAAGGGGGUUCAGGAGAAGUCUGAAUAAAAUUACGUUUCCUUUGAUUGAUGCCUUCUUUAGCCUGUGCUGCAACAUCAUCUGAUCCUGAUGAGAGGCUUUCACUUUGAAAGGUCCGGUGGUUUCUUUCUUUCCAAACAUUCCACAUGAAGCCAUUGGUGCAGAUUUAUGCAGCAUAUAUUACCCUGAAAGUCCUUUUAUCUAUACUUUGCUUGUGUUUAACAAAUUCUGUGAUAGUGGAUGCGACAUUUUUCAGUAUCAGUAACUUUUGCCAAGUAAAAGGCAAUCAUAAUUUAUAGAUUCAUUGAGUUGAUCUUAUAUUGUACAACAAUGUUUUUUUCUGUUUAGUUACUGGACAGAAUAAAUCUUGUUUUUCAUCUUGGACAAAGAAUGUUUUUCAUUUAGAUACUUCGAAGAUCCUCGUUUUGUUAGCUUCAUUCACCUUGUUUUCUUAGCUUCAUUUAGCAAGUAGGGCCAAUAUGACACAAUGAUGUUGGGUAGCACAUCCUAUUAAUAGUUGUUGAAUUGCAAAAUGUUUGUGUAACAAAGGCACAAUGCUUAUAUUUUUGGGCAUAACAUUUAUAUUAUCUACCUUCAUUUCAUAUCUGCAAUAACAUCGCCCAUGUUUUAUUUAGAAGUACCACCUCAUUCUUUGCUCCAUUGUCUAUCACAAAAAAUGCUGACUUAGUACUGCAAGAAUCUGAUGUCAAAUUUUACAUCUAUAUACAAGAAGUCAAUAGUUUCUGAUUCCUUGGUGAUAUAAACCUUUUAUAUUUUAUAUUGUACGUACGAUCACUUAAAAGGUUAUCAUCAACCGUUUCAUCUUUAAAUUUAACUGAACAGUCUGGCAAAGAGGUAUCCAUAUGUGGUGGUGCGCGAGAUCUGAGAGGGGGCUGUUUAGUUUCUACUGUUAUUUUCACCUCAAUUCCCUCCAAUCACGAGUGGGGUUUGAAUUUUAUAAACUAGCCCUUACCUUGGUAUGAAACUGGCUGCACUAUUCUUGAUAUGCUUUUAUUCUACUAAAACUGCUACAAUAUAUAUCUGAUAAUUUCAAGCACACAAAAUUUUGUCCAAAAUCAUUGAGAUUACUUUCUCACGCACAAUGUAUCCACAACAUCAUAGCGAGUAGGGCAUGCCUUGCACUAUAUUGCGCCCAUAAAUAUGUUAUUGCGAGAAAUCAGUUAUGCAAUUUUCUGCGCAACAGAUCUGUUCAUUUUUUAUGAAAUCUUCUUAGUUGCCCUUGUUUUUGGCACCUGUAACAUUUCAUUCGCGUUUUGUUUUUAUGUUUUAGAGUCGGUUCGGUGACAAAGGAAUUGGAAAAGGAAUUGGAGGAGUUCCAUGGGAGGAAACCCCUUGCUAUUUAGCUUUGAAUAGUUUAUUUAAUUUUAAAUAGAAUGGAGUUUCCUUCCCAUAAAUCCCCUCCGCUUCUCUAGUCACCAAAUUAACUUUUCUUGGAGCUGGUUUGGUGGCAAUGAAAUUGGGGGAUUGAGGGAGAGCUUCCCUCUAAUCCCCUCCAAUUUUCUUGUCACCAAACCAGCACUCGGUAAUAUUUUUUCCCCAAAGGCAAUAGUAGUUCCGUCCCAAAGCAAAUCAACAGGAAAAAAUGUUUCACAGUGCUGAUCAUUGUGCUUCUAUUGGUGAAAGGAACAGGAGUUCCAUGCCCAACAAUUUCUGCUACAAGAAGAAAACUGGCAAAAGAUGAUCACAAAGAGCCCUACAGCCUGAUGCUCAGUCGAGCAAGGUCCUAGCUCUUUGAGAAAGGGAAAAAGAAAGAGAGGAUGGAUUGUAAUUGCAUCUCCGAAGAGGCUGCACUUAAAUAACAAUCGACUAAGAGGGGGAGACCAUAUGGAUAAAGUGCUGGAGACGGUCUAAGAGGAUGGCUUCAAUUAUGAUGGCUGAACCACUGAAGGAGCCAUGUUCUCCUCAGAUCGGCUGCUCCAGCAGAUGUCGCUGAGUGAAGGUCUUAGGCCCUUGCUGCAGAACAUCUCAUACUCCAGCGUGUCGCCUGCCGACUUCUUCACCUCGACGACGUGAAAGGCCGGUGUCACCUCGAAGAUCUCGGCGUCGAUCGCGAGCUGCCCCUUCCUCCCUUGCUUGGACCCCUGCAGCUUCACCAGCCCGUCCUGUUUUUUCACCAUGAAGCGCUCUGUCUCAGCGAUCUGCUCCAGCUUUGACACUAUCGCCGACGCCGGCUUCUGGGUCAUGAACCGCGAGUUGCUGGCCUUCUGCUCUUGGUCCACCUCGAACAGGCUUGACAGGUCGAACCCUCUGGAGUGGGAGAUGAUGUCGAACGCGUUCAGGCUCGCCGGCUUCAAGGAGCUGUCCGCCGGCUGUUCCACCUUGCUGCUGCUGUCCUUGUGGUCGGCGUUGCUGAAGGCGACCUGGACAUCCUUGAGGCUGCUGGAGCCGUGCGGCUGUGCCAGCAUGACGGCCGGCCUGUACCCCUUCUUGAACCAGGGGUGCUCGACCAGCUUCUCGAUCGUGAUCCUGUUGUUUGGGUUCGGUUCGAGGAGCUUGGGCAUCAACCGCCGGAGCUCAGGGGAGAACCACUGCGGGUACUUGACGUCGGCUCUGCUGAUCUUGCGGUACAUCUCCACCAGGUUGGCGUCGUGGAACGGGAGGUAGCCGGCGAGGAGCACGAAGAGGAUGACGCCGCAGGACCAGAUGUCGGCCUUGGCCCCGUCGUAGCCCUUCUUGUUGAUGAUCUCCGGCGCGACGUACGCGGGGGUGCCGCAGGUGGUGUGCAGCAGGCCGUCCUGCUUCUGGCACUCCCUGAGCGCGCUGAGGCCGAAGUCGGAGACCUUGAGGUUGCCGUGCUCGUCGACGAGGAGGUUCUCGGGCUUGAGGUCGCGGUGGUAGACGCCGCGGCUGUGGCAGAAGUCGACGGCGCCGACGAGCUGGUGGAAGUACCUUCUCGCGGCGUCCUCCUUGAGCCGGCCGCGGGCGACGCGGGCGAAGAGCUCGCCGCCCCGGACGUACUCCAUGGCGAAGUAUAUCUUGCUCUUGCUGGCCAUCACCUCGUGCAGCUGCACGACGUUGGGGUGGCGGACGAGGCGCAUGACGGAGAUCUCGCGCUUGAUCUGGUCGAUCAUGCCGACGCGCAUCACCUUCUCCUUGUCGAUGACCUUGAUGGCCACGCUCUCGCCGGACGCGAGGUUCCGGCCGUGGUACACCUUGGCGAAGGUGCCCUGCCCGAGCGUGCGCCCGAGCUCGUACCUGUUCAUGAGGAUGGUCGGCUUCUUCUCCAUCCUUUCCUUGUGUGGGUUCGUUGACGACGACGACGACAGGGACAGCUACAAUGGUUCACGGGCGUCUGCUCUGCGCCACUCCGUGCCUCUGACUUCCCCUCUCCCUGGCAGGCAGGGACGAGAGGAAGGAGAGGUGAACGAAGGGCGACAGAGCGGGCGCUAUGGUGAGAGAGGAAACCUAGACACGCGACUGAUCGAUGUGCUCAGGAUCCUCCUCCGACGGGCAACUUAACGGGGGGAGGAGAGAAGGAGCCCAGGAACCAGUCGAUCUCAUGUGAGGCCAGGAUUUGGUCUCUCUCGCUAGCUGGCUAAGAAUAGGAGGUACUGAGUGCUAUUUGUAGGAUCUCGAUCCCUGACUGGCUGAUGACUGACUGUUGAGUGAUGCAGCUAUUAUACAUGUGUCUCUCGUGAUGGAAACCGACGAUCAAUUGUCUAAGACGCCAUUGCAUAUGACUGACUGUUGAGUAAUCUAGUAGAGGUUAUGAAAAGUUGGCUGAAGCUCCUUGCUGGGAACUGCUUAUGGUAUGGUGUGCAGCAGCUGCUUACAACAACAACAUAAGAGAUAUCUGGAGCUUCUCGUGGCCAUGUCUGAUGUUUCUACUAAAGAAAGAUGUUAGGUUUUGUGUAGAAUAGUUUGGCGGGUGUGCAUGUGUACACAUGCACGUUCUUGUACAGUUUGGCCAUCGUUGAUCCAAAGAGAUAACAUGUACAUCAGUCGCAACAGUUCCGUUUCUAGAGCAAUUUAGUUAUGAAUGAAUCACGCACAGUACAUUCGUAGAUACAGAUGAUAGGAUACGAUACGAGGGAUUUAUUCAAUGCAAAGAGAAUAUGACAAGGUUUAGCACAAAGCAAGGAUGGAUGGUUUAAUCAUCAUCUAGAAAAAGAACAUCAGCACCUCCUUGAGCAAGGAGGGUGUAAUAGCCUCUCGUAGAAGGAAACAACACCAGAACUGAACAACAAGAUAAUCAUCACUACACUACUAUCAUCAUAAUUCUGACCAUUUCAUAGUCUAUACCCUCUGGUAACUUUUCCCUUCACAUCAAUUUCUUACAAGUAAAAUUAACGACAUGGGCACACUGCCACUUCAGCACUGCUGCUUAGGCGAUGGUUGCUCGGCAUCUUCGCAUUCCUCUUCUUUACAGGCCUUUAGAUAGUAGAGUUGCCGCCUUAGGUGCAAUAUCUGCCAGCGCAUAAAUAUUUAGUCACUGGUUAUUCUACCUGCUACAGCACAAGCUCAAGGCAUUCACAUUUACGGAAUAAUUAGCAAAUAUCUCCACAUUUAACCGAAGGAAAUGAAAACACAUGAUACCUAAACUAUCUCUCCAGUGAGACAAUAAGCCUACGAAUGAUGGGAAAGGCAAAAGAGAUGCAGCAUGAUUAUUUUACAAAAUUAACACUUCAGUGUGGAGGAAGAUGGUGCUUCUAAAACUUUUCAGUGUGUAUACAACUCAUAUGGGGAGACUAUCAUAUUCAUAUGGAACUGUGUUUCUAGUGUAAUCCGGUGUGAAGAGAAUGUCGAGCUUUAGAAGAAACAGACUAUAUCUAGAUGUAUCACAAUUCAACUAGUCACAGAGUUUCAACACCACAGAUCUGCCAAAUUUCUGCAGGGUGUGCUUGUUUGUUGUCUUUCUACGGUACAGUUUACCUUUGUGUCAAUGUUAUUUUGUUUCUAAUGGAAGCAACUGGUUUGUGAUUAGCUUUCACAACCAAAGUUGUAUAUGAUCCACUUGGCACGUGACUUGGUAGAGAUUUAGAUCUCCAUGCCAACAGGGGCUCUGUCCCCAAUCCCCAGCAUGCAGCCAUUGACCAAGGGUAUGUUUGGUUGAGGAGUGAAGGAGAAUGGAGUGCCUACAUUCCUAUUAUUUAGAUGUUUGGUUUCUAAAAAAAUAAGAGCGAAGCGACUCAUGGAGUCUCUAUAUGAAAAUUUAUCAUACAUAGUUGGAAUGCUCUCGCUCCACAAAAACGAUCGGAUGCGAGCGCUCUCCCGGACGCGAGCGCUCUCAUCCCCCUAUAUUCAUAUGACUCUCCAACCAAACAAAGAACAGAGUGGAUUCACUCUAUUCUACUCUUCAACCAAACAAAAAAUAGAACGACUCUAUUCUAGUAGCCAAACGCAUAAUAGAACGGCUCUAUUCUCAAAAACUAGAAUGGAGCUGAACCAUUCUAGUUGCCAAACGCAUCCAAACACACCUAAAGACUGUAAAGUGAAACAUGCACCAUUUUCCAAAGCACAAUUGACUAAUCAAUCCCAAUCCUUCACCCUCCACCCGUACUAGGCCAGGGUGGAUGAGGGUGAAUCGAAAACAGACCCUGCCCACCAUAGACCUCUAAAGCCUGACAUGACUUCCAUGAGAGAAAAUAACUGUGCACCUUUUUUUCAGGAAAAUACUACUACUAUGCGAGGAAGCAAAAGUAAACAAGUAAGCAUGCUUUGAUUUCGACAACAGACCUCUCGUUUCAGAUCAUCAGGUAGACUGUCUGUUGAAAUAAGAGUCUGAAAUUCAGCUUUGAGCUUCUCGUCUUUGAUGCCCAACCACGUGUUGGGAUGUAAAGCCAGCAGAAGAACAGUUAGAACAUCCACGCUUGAUGGAUAUUUGACGGCAUUGCUCUUCAAGUUUGAAUUGCAUGAACUGGCACCAGGUGAAGACAUUGGUAAAAGCAUAUCAACACCUUGUUCACUGCCUUCACAUACCACGGAGCCUGAGAUAACAGUCUUAAGCCCGUCACCAUUCGCUUGGACACAUUCAAAGCUUGUUUCUCUGCAGCAGAAGGCAUCUCUUGGCACAAGGUUACCUGAUAGCAUUGCAGCUCCCUGACAGCACACAACGGCUGCAAUCCUAGUAAGGGAAUCAUCUUCGCUCGACGAUGAGCAAUUAUAACAUGGUUUAUUAGCAUACUGCAAAUCAUGGACUAUGGUAAAUAGCCUGGUAUCACGAACUUGCUUUAGUACAUUUUCCUGCAAGUGAACACGAGAAGUGUAAGUGUGUUAUAUAAGGGAGGAAAAGUCUAACCCAGCAUCUGAAAAUGAAACAGAAAUCAGGAAAUGUCACCUUCAAGAAAAGCCUUUCUUUCUCCUCUUUGUUUAAGCUUGGUCCACCCUCCUCUUUUCUCCUGACUUCGACAACCCAUUUGAUCAAAGAUUCAGCGUCAGCUGGAAGAGACUCAAUUAAACGGGACAGAAGCGCUGGAACAUCGUCUAGGUUCCCUGCCUUCAGAAGACUCGGUAAAUCUUCAACACAAUAUUUUGACAUGCGUUUCCAGUUUUCAUCUCUGCAACUCUGCAGAAAUGAAAUUGCUGAGCAAAGAAAACUACAUCAAGUACCUCAUGUACGCAUAAUUGACAGAUUAUUAGUAUUUACCACUGUGUACAACAAUGAAGGGGCUGCAACCUUUCUUGAUAUAAGCAUGAACCUAUCAAACAUUAGGAUGCCAACAUCUUAAAAAUGGCAUGUUUAAAAGUCAAUAAAGACUACUGACCAAUUUGAUCAAACUGAAUUUUUUCUGAAUGUAUCGAGACGAAACAUCAAUGAAAAUUUCUGAAUGCAUAGACAAAAUGAUCAAGGGUGAAUGAGAGGAAGAUAGGCAAGAGUAGAUACCCUCUGAGAAGUCCAGUUGAGUCAUCAGUUGUAUUCAUGGCUUCCCAAAGAAGUUGCAAUGGAACCCAAUGCGGAGGAUAUUUGAAACGGGCGACAUCCAAGAUGAGCACCAUAUCCUGUCCGGCAUGGUAGCCACCAAUUGGGGAGAAAUGACCAGUUCCAGUCUGCACCAUUGCAAAAGGUGCACAUCAGUGAUGAUAUAUACAAAGAUAGUAGUUAUAUCCAAUCUAACCAAAUGUGUACAUGAAGAUUAAUUGGUGGUAGUACUGUAGUGCAAGUAAUCAGAAGAGCGUGACUAGGAGAAUUCGCCGGUGGCCCAGUGGGAAUGGAAAAUCUAGGGGGGGACGUAACCUGUCCGAAAGGCCGCCUGUGGUAGGAGGCGAUCAGAUGGCAGUCCUGCGAGGAGACGCAUCGGAUGAGAUGCCGCCGUAGGUCGUGGAUGGUAACCCGGUUGGUGCGGAAGGAUUGGACGUCGGCUCCGGAGCAGUGCGCGAGACAGGCGACCUUGCCGAAGGUGAUGCCCUCGGCCUUGACCUUAUCGAGGGGCUCGCAGCAGUCGAGCAUGGACUCGUCGAACCACCGCCAGGGCCCCUUCCAGCGGCGGCCCGGGUCGAUGGCGAGCGCGUUGAGCACGACGGCAAGGGAGGCCAGGCCGCAGAAGGCCGGCUCCGACUGCGUCUGGAAGACGGAGACCAGGGGGAAGAAACCCUCCAUGGUGCCCGCCGCCAGGGCCUCCGCGAAUAGGCGCUUGCCCUCCGGCGAAGCGAAGUCCACCGCCGGCGGCGACGGGAGGACCCGCCUGUACAGCGACGCCACGGCCGCCGCCAUCCUGGACCUGGACUGCUCGCUUCCUCCUCGACUGCGCUGUUGGCUUUCGCGUGCUGAUCUAGUUCCUCCGCGUGAACACAGCGGCGAUCGAGCCAGCGAAGGGUGCCUCCUUUCCUCUGCGAUGCUCUCUCACUUUCGUUUCGAAUCUCUGCAGACGACGACGGGCACGAUGGACGAGAGCCCACAGAACCCGGCCAGGAGUCAAACAAUGCUAAAUCCCAUUGCGUAGUUUCGAAUAUCUGCAGACGACGACGGCCACGAUGGACGAGUGAAAAAAGUUUCCAUGCAGCAGAAAAGUGACAGAAAGAAAACUGAUUUUAAACUUUUUCCUUUUCUUUUCUUGCCGAAAUCACGAACUGUCAACGGUCUAUUGGCAAGCCCAUACGAUGAAUCCUCUCUAUAAAAAAAUAAAUUUAAUAUUAAAGUGGAUAUAUGACUCGUACGCUUUCAAUGUGUAUAAAUUAAUGUUUUGCAUCAAUAACAAAUAACGUACAUUAUAAUUUAAGCAAAACGGGUUUAUCCCAUGAGAAAUAGGGAUCGGAAGUAAUUUCUUCCCCAAGCAUUUGUGGGAUCUAUAUAAAGAAAUUUUUCUGUCAUGAGAAUGAAGAUAUAAAGUUAUUCCUCGACGGAGAAUUCUCUAUUAACAUCCCUAAUUAAAUAUAGUCUAAUUACAAAACUAAUUAUAUAGGUAAUGACUAAACAAUAAGACGAAUAUAUUAAAUCUAAUUAGUUUAUGGUUCGUCUUUACGAUGCUACAAUAUUUAUUGGCUAAUCAUAAAUUAAUUAGGCUUAGGUCUUGUUUAAAUAGACUAGAGAUAAUAGAUAGUUGCUAAAAUUAGAUGAAGACAUCUAACAAUAUAGACGAUUGUUUAGCUUUUUGCUACUUUUAGCAAAAAUUAGCUAAUAGUUAGCUUGUUAUUUGUCAGCUAGCUAAUUUUAUAAACAAAAUUUUUAGAUAACUAAUUAUUAACUCUAGUACAUUCAAACACACGUCUAAUAAAUUUAUGCUAAAAUAUAAUAUAGAUUAAACUUUAGCCUCUCAAAUAAAAUACAUCUCAUAUCUUAAAUAUAUCACAUCAAUCUUGACCCAACAUCGUGUCAAUUCUCAUUUCCCUUGCCAGGCUUGCGCUGCAGCCUGCAACUGCAACCUGCUGCACUGCAGGUCAGCGGCCCUGGCCUGCCUCCGCGGGCGGCGGGCGCACGGGUGAGCACGUGCUGGCUGCUGCAUCCUGCCGCCGUGCCCUUUUGCCGCCUACGCUGCUGCCUUCAAAUGAUCAAAUCCGCCCUGUUGAGCAGAGGAUGGCGACGGGUGAAUAUGUGUCGGGUAGUACUAUUCGGUACCUAUAUGUAUUAAAAAAAUCUCUCCAUUAUAUUACUUAAGCUAUCUGCACUCAUACUACUCUAAAUUUCUACCCUAAAAAGAAUAUUCUGUCCUGAUCAGCACUCUAUACCACAAUCCCCCGCAUUCAUAUUCACUCUAUAUUCCAACCCUAUACCAACUACCGUAUAUUAUAUUAUAUUUUUCCCACUCCGCGUGCAUGCAUGUGCUGUGAACGGCCGCGUGCAUGCAUGUGGGCCCGCCUCCCCACCUCCGCGUGCAUGCAUGCAUCUGCCUCCGCCGGCUGCUUGCUUGCAUGCCUCGUUUAGCGCAUGUGCGUCCGAACUCUACAUUUGCAGCUCGAUCACGCGUAGAGUCUAGCACCCAGUCACCCGCUGCAGGUGUUUCUUUACGCUAUAUGGGAUAGAGUCCAGCACCCAGUCUUCCACUGCGGGCAGCCUUAUAUAUAUUCACAUGUAUAAAAUUUUACCUAUACCUAUAUCCGUACGGAUAAUUUUACUAGUCGGGUAACCCGUACCCGCUAAAAAGUCUUAAAUUCCAAUAUAUCAAUCAUUCAAAAUAUUAAAUAAACAUACAAAAACAACUUUAACUUCACAUAUAACAAAUCAUAUAAUUACAUAAUUUGGUAUCUAGAUAAAUGAUAGCUAGUGAAUGAUUUUAUUUUAGCUAAGAUGGUCUCUAUUAGAUGGUUAUAGUGAUAUUUGAUACAGAUAUAUUUUACCAAUGGAUAGACGGGUAUGGGUAGUACCAACCCGUAUUCGUCUACCCAACAGAUAGAGGUUUUUGUCCAUUAAUAUACCCGCGGCUAGAGAAAACAUAUCGUACCCACCUUCAUAUCGGGUAAAAUCUGUCGGAUAUUCAAGUUUCGGUUAUCCAUUGCCAUUUAGGGCCUUGGCUAGAAAAUGGGAACGUAGAAAUUUUUACGUGCUAGAUAGUUGUGGGAGUGUCAGAAUCUCAUUCUUUCUAAGAACACCAUGGAAGGUAUGGAAUUUGGCAAUUUGUUCUAUAGUACAAGUUGGUAGGCUUGAUAGUUUAACUAUCUAUUUGCAGGUCGCUGAUAUUGUAUUUAAUGAAUUUGCUUGACAUCCCAAGGUCUAUAUUUGGAAUGGUGAAGGUACAAUCUGAAGACUAGCUUUAAGUUGUUCAGUAUUUAUGCUUUUUGCUCAACUUGUUGAACUAGCAACUAUUUUUACUUCUGCAGAACCUAAACCUAACAAGGGACAUCUUGCAUGGGCUGAUGCUUUUGUCAUAACACCAGACUCGAUAAGUAUGUUAAGUGAAGCAUGCAGCGCAGGGUAAGCUAUUGUCUUAUUAGACUGAUGACUUGCACGUUGCAACCUUUUUAUGAAGUUUCAAGAGUGUGAAUAGCUUCAAACUGUUUUGGCGCACUAGCAAUAGCAUUAGUUGCUUUUGAGUUCUAACCAAACAGGACGAACAGAGUAAAUGUUUCCACAAAUUCCACUAAACAUGAUUUCUGUAUAGACAUCAAUUCACGUAAAGUGCAUAUCCUGUUUGGUGUUUUCUUGGGGACAAUGUAAUUUUUAGCCGACCAAUAUAAUGAAUGCAUAGUACCAAAAUUUGAAAAGUAUAGUAAUGUUUCUAUUUCUUUUGUUAAAUAAUAGUUAGUAAGGAUUUCUGGCUGGGAUGCAACCCUUUUUUUGUUGGGGACUGGCAUUGAGGUUGUGGGUUUUUUUACUUUCACUUGCAUAGCUAUCGGCUGGUUUAUUUUUGGUGCUACAGGUGUUUGAUGUAAUCACUCUGUAGGUGUGCACAUUAAGCUUGAUACUGAAGAACGUCGCGUCGCUGUUCAUGAAUAAGGAUUCCCUCAAGGUUGAAGCUGAUACUAGGCUUGGGGAGCUCAUAAAGUAUUGUCGGAGAGGAAAUCUCCCCGGCCGGGUGACGGAUUGCACCCGCCCUAAAUCCUAAAAAGAGGAGGGGCCUAAGCGUUUUGCUUGUUACGAGACUAGUGGAUCAACACACGGGAGCACGCAAGGGUUUAGAGUGGUUCGGGCCACCGGGGCGUAAUAUCCUACUCCACUGUGUGAUGUAUUGCUCAGGAGCUUGUAUGAACUUGUGAGUGUCUGCCUAAGAUUGGGUCUCCCUUGUAACGCUGCAUGCCUCCCCUUUUAUAGCCGAAGGGGGCAUGCACAAAGGUACUGAGCCUCGACAUAUGGGCCCAGGGACAUAACGAAUAUCGUACUUGGAGCCACAAAUGUGUGCUGCUGGGGCACUCUUCUUGGGCCCCGACAUCUGAGAUCUGCGUAUCCUUAGCGUGCAAGGGAAGCUUCUUGUAGAAGGGGUGAUGAGUACGGUGCGCCGCUCGGCACGGGCGCACUAUUCGCCAAUAGACUGGUCAGGCACGCCGCCUGCUGGGUGACCCUGACGUCGCCUGCCAGUGGAUUGGACAGGACACAUUUAAUGCUGGGAGGGCACACCACCCGUUAGCGUGGUGGCAGGCGGCGCGUCCUCUCUGCAAUAAAUGCAGAGACUGCACGGCUUCAUGGGUUUUACGUCAGGCUCAGCCCGUCGGCUUACGUCGUGGGCCUCAAGCCAGGCGGUAAUAGUGGGGAGCACAGGGAAGGCCUGGACACGUGCCAGCACUGGACCCCUACUCAUGGCUGGGUCCUUCUCGUCUCGGGACCCUGCCAAGGCUCGGACCUCUCCUAAAGGGGGAUCGGGAUCCUCCCAAGGGGCCCGGCGUGCCUUCUUGGGGGCUCCGGACUUGUAUGCAAAGGGGCCCGGCGUCCCUCUGAGGAGGUCCGGACCCUGCGUUGAAUACCUGGAAUAUAGUUCCAUUCCUUGUCACGUGGCGCCCUUGGACCUGCUCAUGCGGUAGAGUUGGGUGCCACCCUCGGCGUGCCUUGGGGUGUCGUACGGGCGCGGCGCCUUCAUGCUGUAGAAGAGGGUACCCCUGAUCCAGGGUACCGACAGUGGCCCCCGGGCCCGCCUCAGGGGAGGAUGUGAACCUGCAGGCAUGGCUAGAGUCUGAUUAGCACUCCUACACGCCUGUUGACGUAAUUACUACCGACCUUCUUAUGGUCAUGCCGACUACCGCGCCUAUUCCCACGAUUGAUUGGCCCGUGACCUUCACACUUAAUAUCACUGCUGAGCCAUGCGGGAUUCCUCGAGUCGUUGUACUGGCUCUGAAAACUUAUCUUUUCAGUCUGCUGUGACGGUCUCGAGAAGACGUGGUAUUGGCGCAAGUGGCGGUGCAAUUUUUUUCGCACCCAGUAACCGGUGCGUCGGUUGUAUGACAUGUGGGUCUGGGCCCCCAUGUUGGACCGCCAGUUGCAGCGAAGGUGUGGGGGUGCAUAACCGUGGGGCGGUUGCACGCUUCCUGCGUGGUGGUUCCCCCUUUCGACCGCUGGUUUCGGCGAAGAUGAGGGAGCGCUUAACCGCGGGGCGGUUGCAUGGUCCUUGUGCGGCGGUUCGCCUUCUUCGUGCUUCGGAUCAGUCUGUAUGACAUGUGGGGGCCUGGCCCCAUGCCAUAGGGUAGGAACCCUGGAGACCGUCGGGGGAGACUGCCCAUGACGCUUCGGGGCGCGAGUGGGGAGAUCUGCCUUUAAAAAGGGACCGAUCUCCCGGGUAGUAGCCAUGCCUUGCUCCUCUCGCAUUCCUUGCGCCCUUCCGCCUCCCGGGCCUCCGGAUGGGGUGCGCUGGUGUUUUCUGGAGAGAUCCGUGUCAGGGCCGUUCCCUCCAGCGCUCUCACCGCUGGAGAGUUCACACUCGUGGUGGUGCCGGCGGUCCUGUUUUCUUCUUGCUGCUGUUAGAGGAGCACAACCCUGUGGUGGUUGGUGCUCUUUCGCCAUUGCUCGGCUUCAAGGAUUUUCAUCAUGCAGCCCGACUGCAGUCCCCUGCCAGUGGCCAUCCAGAAGGAUGACCACCAGCCUCACGGUGGGGAGAAGCAAGCCGGGCUGCGGCUUCCCCCCAGCUUCAGCUUCAAGGAUGUUCAUCAUCCUCGCUGGAGUGGAGGGCGAGCCAAGUCGGGGCCCUGCCCUCCGCGUGGGCUGGUGACCCGCUUCUUCCUCCAGCAUUCGGAGGAGAAGGGUGUUCACCAGCCUUGCGGAGGAGGCGAACCUUGGCUACAUGGGGCCGGCUGGCUACAGGCUGUCAGCUGCAGCGUGUCCGGCCCUUUGGGCUGGAUGGUUUCGGCGCUGCCUCCGACGCUGCCUCCUGCCGCUCUGGCCGGGGCGUGGCUGUCCGUCCACCGCACGGGCGCGGUCGUGCCGUGCGCGGGUCCAGCACAUCCACCCCUUCUCUUGCCCGUCGGCCGCACUGGGGGGAUCAUACAAUAUGUCGUACGCCGCGGCGGUGGCGGCGGCGUUCUUGGAUGGUCUUAUCCUCACUCCCGUUGGUCAGACAGGAGCGAGGACCCCUUCGUGCGUGCUGAGGCAGCCGUCGCCCACCGGUGUAGAGGUGGUCACCGCCGCUGGUGAGGCUACCCCUUGCAGAGGUGGUUGCCUCCGCCGGCGAGGGCAUCAGAGCCAUCUGUCGCUGAGUCCCUGACUCUUUGGCUUUAAUGGCCUCGUUGUCACCCCCCGUAGGAGGACGGGGGCGAGGACCUUUUCGCAGUGGCGCUCACCCUGAGGUGGUCGUUGUUGCUGGCAAGCCACACGGAGCAGAGGUCGUUGUCGCUGCUGGUGCAGAGAUGGUCGCUGUCGUCGGCGAUCCGUCGAUGUAGAGGUGGUCGCCGCCGUCGGUGGGGCUGUCUAGGGUCAGCUUCCAUCGUGACUCCUGUUGAUGCAGCGUAAUCCAUUCCUGCAGACAUGGAGCUAGGGUCCCACUUGUAAGGGAAUGUAGCAAAUAUGUCUGCUUUUAAAUGUAGAAUGUAAUAACAUAUGUACGCAGGGUUUUUGUCCUAGGGAGCCAAGUUGUGUGUCCGGACCCCCUAGAUGGUGGUUCUAGGUACUAGGGCACCUAUCGCAGGGUGGUGGAGUGUGCAAGCUCACGGUACGGGACCAGGCUGAGUGGCUACGUGGCUCCGGACCACCCCAGGAGACAAGCAUCGCUUCUCUAGUUCUGGACCCCAAGUUGUCGGACACACAGGACUUAUAGUUCCAAAUACUAGGGCACCCGUCACGGAGUGAUGGAGUGUGCAGGAUUUCGGGUACGGAACCAGGCUAACCGGCCACACAGACUCGGGACCACCCCAUGGAACGGGCAUCCGUUCUUUAGAACCGGCCCCCAGGCUUUUUCCUGUUUUUUGUAAGGUACUCCUGAGUAUUAUUUAUAAAGCAGUGUUAAUACUUAUUUGUGUAUCACUCGCUCUUGUUGUUGACUUCCCUUGGUACCUGGCCCCCCGCCUGGGGUGCAGGCUCGAUGUGUCGAGGUUGGGCACCAGCGUAUAUGAAAGAAUUGUCAACGACUUUCAGGAGGUAGCCCCGCCGAGACCUGUAUCUAUACACAGCUUUAGCUCAAAGAGCGUUAGUGAUACACCCGUAGGCCCCGUCAUCUGGCAUUAUUCAUCCUUUGACUCAUGCUCGGGAUUUGUAGUGUUUAGACUGGGGGAACCAAGUUGUGUGUCCGGACCCCCUAGAUGGUGGUUCUAGGUACUAGGACACUUGUCACAGGGUGGUGGAGCAUGCAGGCCCACGGUACGAGACCAGGCUGAGCGGCUACACGGCUCUAGACCACCCCCAGAGACAAGUGUCUCUUCUCUAGUUCUGGACCCCAGGUUAUUGGACCCACAGAACUUAUAGCUCCGAGUACUAGGGCACUCGUCACAGAGUGGUGGAGUGUGUGGGGUUUCGGGUACGGAACCAGGCUAACCGACCGCAUAGGCUCCGGACCACCCCAUGGAAUGGGCACUCGUUCUUCAGAGCCGGCCCCCAGGUUGUCGGGCCCUCCUGCUUUCGCAUAGAGGUCCUAAACUGCAAACCUGGCUGUUCAAUCCAUAUGUCACUAUGCCUGAUGGGAUGGGAGCUGGUCGGGUGGGUUAGCUAAAAUAUAAUCCGGAAACUGCAGGAGAAGACCUUGGGGCAGUAGGAUAAUACUAUCAUAGAGGCACAUCUGAGAGGGUAGUUUUUCUUUUAUAACUUAUCAUGCAUGGGUGCGGACCAACAGACCGGGUUUAUGGGGGCAGACCCCACCGGGUUGGCGUACACGUAUGCGUUACCUAGUUACAAAAAGGAAACACUUCAACCCCUCAGACUUGCUCUAUUGAUAAAACUUACAGAGGUGUUUCGGCACCGGGGAAAGCUCUCCUUCAGUCGUAGCUAGAUAGUCACCCUCGGGUCGGAGUAUUCCCGUUACCUUGAAGGGUCCUUCCCAGCUGGGGGAGUGCUGCGGAGCCCUAAUUCGGUUUGGUACUUCCAUAAGAUUAGGUUCCGACCCUGGGUCCCCAUCUGCGUUUGACGAAGGAGGCCCCGCCUUUGGCUGUGGUCAUUCAUGGAUGAACCUGUCAGAAAUCUGGACCUGUGGGGAGUCCAGAUGGGUUUUCGGAGGAAGGCGGGCUUCAGCUCCGUAGGUCGGGGGACAUGGGGUCCCGCCGGUGGUCCGUCUAGUCGUCGCCAUCGGAGUGGGAGUCUUUUGCGAAGACGUCCUUCAGGUCCCCUUCGGGUGGCUGAUACCCGAGGUCCUGUUCAGCCGCAGCCACCUCGCCGUCGUUGACCUUUUCCUUGCCAGGACGGCGGCGAGGCGGGGAGCCGUCCUUAGAAGACUGCUCACGUUGCUCGCUGGCGCGUUCGCUGACGCGCUUUGCGAGAUCAAUGAUCUCGCAACACUCCGCGGCGUUGUGGCGACCGUUGGGGUGUACAGGGCAUGUGCCGCUGUUACCCUUUUGCGGCUGUGGGCGUUUGUUGCGGUCGCCCCGGCCCCCGGUCACAGCUGCGAUGACCAGCGCGGUAGACUGCGGCCUCUCGUAGCUGCGACCCUUCUUUUUCUUUCUGCCGUCCCGGGGGAUGGCACCCGAACCACCCGUCUGGGCGGUCCCAGUUUGUGGGGCCGAGUGCCAUGCCCAACCUUCAGCGGCUCUGGCACACUUGUCCGCCAGGGCGAAGAGCGUGGGGAUAGUCUCCACGUCAUGUGUGGCUAGCUUCUCCAACAACUUCUUAUCACGUACCCCCUGACGGAAGGCCGUGAUGAUGGAGGCAUCGGAAAUACGAGGUAUAGUACCUCGUACCUUGGUGAAGCGGGAGAUAAACGUCCAGAGGGUCUCUCUGGGCUCCUGCCUCACUGCGUGUAGGUGGGCCUCCACGCCAUGUUGCUGGUAAGCGCUGGCGAAGUUCGCAACGAACCAUGCGCAGAGCUCUUCCCAGGUGUAGAUUGACCCUGGGGCGAGGUUCAUGAGCCAAGUCCGGGCAGGCCCAGACAGGGCGACAUGAUAAUACGUCGCCAUCACAGCGGUGUUUCCACCUGCUGCCGUGAUGGCGGUGACAUACACCUGCAGGAACUCCGACGGGUUUGAUGUUCCAUUGUAUUUUUCCGGCAGGUGUGGCCAGAACUUGGGCGGCCAUGACGCCGCGCGUAGGUGGCCCGCGAGGGCAGCACAACCUGCCCACGCCGGCCAAGGGGACACCCGUUUGGGACUGGGCGCCCAUCAGUGUCUGCGGUGCUGUCGCAGCAAAGUCUUGAUCGAGGUUGCGACCCUUGAUGUUCUAGCGGCGCUCACACGUCCUUUCCAAAGAGAUCCGGGCGUCCUCUCCCGUACGCCUACGGUUGAGCUCUGCCUGGAGGUCGUCGGUCUGUGCACCCCUCACGGAGGGCGAGUGCAUAGACGCUGUCGCCUCGCGUUGGCGUCGGGAUGACCGAGGCCUCGAUCUGGUCGAAGUAGAAUGUGCCAUGCCGAGUAGUCGGUCGACGUCGUCACGCCACUGCUUCAUGGCCCCCGGCGAGACCGUGGAGCUAGGGGGUGGCACAACAACUCCCUGGCUGCAGACAACACCGUAGGCGCUGCCCUUGACAGAGUCCGGGACGCUUGUGCAGGCGUGUGCUGCUACACGGCGUGUACAACAGCAGUCCCAGUGUCAGGGCGGUCGGGCACUCGCUGCACAGAGGAUACAACUUCUUGCUCCAUCGUGAAAUCCUCCGAAGUUUCGGCGUGGUGCUCGAUGAUUCGCACCAUCAUGCUGAGCGAGGAAACAAGCAAAAACUUCAAGCCUAGCCCCCUACCUGGCGCGCCAAAUGUCGGAGAGGAAAUCUCCCCGGCCAGGUGGCAGAUUGCACCCGCCCUAAAUCCUAAAAAGAGGAGGGGCCUAUGCGUUUUGCUUGUUACGAGACUGGUGGAUCAACACACGAGAGCACGCAAGGGUUUAGAGUGGUUCGGGCCGCCGGGGCGUAAUACCCUACUCCACUGUGUGAUGUAUUGCUGAAAGGGAAAUAGGCUUUAAACUGUUUCCUAAAUGAUUUUGGUGGUUGAAAUGCCCAACACAAAUAAUUGGACUAACUAAUUUGCUCUAGAGUAUAUGUUCUACAAGUGCUAAAGGUUCAACUCAAAACCAAUACAAAGAUUAAAAAGGGUUCAGAAGAAAGGAGCAAAGGAAAUCGAAGUGUUCCCUGGUCUGGCGCACCGGACGGUCCAGUGUGCCGGACAGUGUCCGGUGCGCCACCAGACAGUGUCCGGUGCGCCAGGGAGGAUCAACCUCAAACUCUUCAGCUUCGAGUUUCCCAGGCGCAGCUCCGCUAUAAUUCACCAGACCGUCCGGUGGGCCAGCGGAGCAACGGCUAUCUGCACGCAACGGUCGACUCUGGCAGUGAACAAUGCAGCACAGUGAACGCGGCAGAAGUCAGAGCAGUUGGUCAGAGGGGCACCGGACUGUCCGGUGUCACACCGGACUGUCCGGUGCCGCAUGAGGACAAAUCCUCCAAUGGUCGACCAGCUCCAAGCCCUAACGGGAGGAUGACGUGGUGGCACACCGGACACUGUCCGGUGGUGCACCGGACUGUCCGGUGCGCCCAUCGCCAGCAGCCUUCUCCAACGGCUACAAUUUGGUUAGUGGCUAUAAAUACCACCCCAACCGACCACUUCAAAGGGGGGGAGCCCAAGCAACAUUACAAGUCAUCUAGUUGACAUAUUCAAGCCCUCCCAAUCACCUCUAUUCAUUGAUCCAUCCUAUACACAAGAUUUAGAUCACUACAACCAACACAAGGGCCACAAAAGAGAAAGCAAGCAAGAGAGAGCUACUCAUUUGAGUUUAGCGCUAGUGCCUUGUGAGAUUCAUUGAGAGAUAGUGUGAGCUACAUCUUUGUGUUCAUUUGCGCAUGGAGUUUUGACUCCCAUUGAACUUCCUCCAAAGUUUUGGAGGCUUGUAAAGCUAGCAUGAGACACCAAAGUGUGUGGUGGUCCUUGUGAGGUCUUAAGUGAUCCUUGAGAAGAAGAAGAGCUCGCCGGUCUUGCGUGAUUGGUGGAGAGAGGGAAAGGGUUGAAAGAGACCCGUCCUUAGUGGACUCCUCAACGGGGACUAGGCCUUCGAGGGCCGAACCUCGGUAAAAUAAAUCACCCGUGUCUCAUGUGCUUAUUGCUUGUGAUUUUUUUGUUCUUUCCUUUCUAAGUUUUUCUUGCACUAUUCGUUACUAAUAUUAUUUGGUGUUGCUUUAAGUUAAAUUCUCAUUUAGUGAAGCAACACAUUGCAAGAAAGAACUUGUGUCAUUGCUCUUCUUAUCUAAGCCCCUUUGCUUUAUUCUCAUAGACCUAUUAGUUGUAUUGUUUUAUCAAUUCCGCAUUAUUUGAAAGCAAUACUCUUUACAAGCAAGGACUUAGUUUUUAUACUUCGAUAUUUGUAUAUCUUGUUCUAACCACUAAUCAAGGAACUAGUUGGGGGAUAAAGUUUUAAUUUUCAGGUUUCGCCUAUCCACCCCCUCUAGGCGACUUUCAAUUGGUAUCAAAGCUAGGCACUUCAUAUUGAGUCUAACAAGUCGGAGUGAUGGCUCGAAGAAGAUCCUAAAAGAACAAGAAGACAACUCCGAAGGAGGUAACUCUUGAGAUAUUACUUCCCGAUUGUUCUAAUUAUGUUUCAUGGUCUACUAGGGUGAUAAAUGCUUUUAGAACCAUUGAUCCACAAUUAGAACAAAUUUUAAACAAGAGUAUCAUUCCUUCUAACUAUGCUAGAGAAAAUGCCUCUGAGGAAGAUCUUAGAUGUAUACGCUUAAACUAUCUAGCUUAUGACAUCUUAAGUAAAUCCCUUAGCAAAGAAGAUUAUCAUGCCUUCAUAAUAAAAUAUGAUAAACCUAUUUGUGAUGUGCAUGAUAUUUGGACUAGAAUUAAAAGCAAAUUUUAUGAGUCCAAACAUGGUAGUUCAUUUUGUGCUUCUACUUCCUUUGGUCUUUGUGAUACUAACCCUUGCAAGGAAGAAGAAGAUAAUGACCGAUGGAGACCAAAUGAUGAAUCCACCUCUCCAAGAGGUUUGUCUUCCUAUUUUGAUUCCCACAUAUGUUGUGUGGCUAAUGAAAAUGAUAGCGGAAGCACAAACGAGGAUGAGGAGGAAGAGAGAAGCUUCAUGCAACUCUAUGCUCACCUAAGCCAAGAAGAUAAGGCGGUCAUGCUCAAACUUCUAGAAAGAGCAAGAGAGCAAAGCGAAGCUCGUCAAAGGCUAGAAAAUGUCCUCUCCAUGAAAAUGCUACACUUUGACGAGUUGACUAAAGAACAUGAGGAGCUAAAAUGCUCUCAUGUUGAUUUGGUCCAAAGGUAUGAAACUAUUUCAAUUGAGCAAGAUAACACUUUACAUUGUAUCGCUCAAUUAGUAAAUAGGAAUGCCUUGCUUAAGGACCAAAUAGAAAAGCUAAAAGAUGAAAAUCUAGCUUUUCAAGAUAAAUAUGAUAUGCUCCUAUGUUCCCAUGAAAAUCUUAUGGAUGAUCAUAUCAUAUUAAAUAUUGCUCAUGAGGUUGUGAUAGAAAACCUAAAAUCCCAACAACCUCACUCAUGCACAUGUAUUCAAAUUAAAAUUACAUUACCAUGUGCUUAUGCUUGUAGUCUGUCAACAAGCAAAUCUUCCUUUGAGCUAGAAUUUGCAGGAACAAAUGAUGAUACAUAUCAAAAGCUCAAAGAAGAAAAUGAGAGGCUAAAAAUGAGCUUGACACAACUAAAAGGGAAGUGCAUUGCUCAACCUUCUCAAGAUAACCAUGAUCACAUGGUGAAAAAGCUUGAGACGGGAACAACCGUAGCAUGUACUAAAUCCCUUGAAGAAAAUGUCAAGGACUUGAGGAUUGUAAAGAGGAAGGAACAAAAGAAGAAAAUCAAUACUUCUUCCAAAAGCCUCAAUCACGCCUCCAUAAAAGGUAACAUCCAAGGUAAUAAUCAAGUCACACUUCACACUAAGAGAAGUAAGAAGUGUAGUGAAUGCUUUGAAAAGGGGCACUCGAUUAGGUGGUCCCUAUAUUAAAAAAGACUUGAUUAUUGACAAGGAUGAUAAAGUUUGUUUUAAAUGCUCCAAGAAGGGACACUUAUUUAGAUCUUGUCCCCAUUUAAAACAAAAAGGCAUAAUGUUAGAAAAGAAAAUAUUUACUAACCAUGUAGCAAGCAAGAAACAAGGAAGGAAGAAAUCUUCAAGGCUUGAAGAUCGCCUAUGCUACAUAUGCCGAAAGAAGGGACAUCAAUGCAAAGAUUGUCCCAAUGGUAACAAUCCCACUCCUAGCUUGUCAAUUAUUUCUCAUAUAACUAGGCAACCCAAAAUUGCAACAUGUGCUAGAAAGGUAAUGAGUUUACCUAGUGCUAACACAAAGGACGUUUGGGCUCCUAGAUCUUUAUUGACUAACCUUGAUGGACCCAUCAAGAGAUGGGUACCAAAAUAUGCUUGACAAGCUUUGCAGGAGAAGGAGAUGAUAUGAAGCUUUGGGGUGCUUGAGAAAGUUAAUUCAAUUUAACUCAAGCUAUCUUCAAUGAUCUAUAUAUCCAAGAUUGACCCAAAGUUAUUUCAAAUUGUUAUGUCUAAAACUCAUAUCAUCUCGGGGAAGAUAUUGAUGUUGUAGGAAAUAAAGAAUUAUCUUGUGCGGAAAAAUCAAGGCCUACAAUAUGGAGGAAAGCCGAAGGAUGGUAACACUUGUGUCUUUGAGUGCAAGUAUCUUAAAUUAUGAUUUCUCAUGUGUCUUGUGUACUCGCAUAGAAAAAGAAGCACCUCAAAUGUCUCUAAAUUUAUAUUACCAUUCUUUGAAAAAUUUCCUCUCAUAUGGUAGAUUGCAUACUCAUCAUUUCCGUUCUAUGGCAAUCUACAUGCUUUAAGUUGUUGCAAGUAUCUCAUGGCAUGUUUUUUGCUAAUCAUUCUAUUAUUGCCAUGAUUCUAGAUAUAGAGAGAUAUUUCAAGUUCUUAAAAGAAUAAGGUGUCAUGUAAGGAAUUCAAAUCCUUAAGGACACUUAUAAAAGGAAAACUCUCUCUAUAACUAGAAUAGUGAGACUAAUGAUUUUAUCUAAGUAACCCAAGUAGUCUCACUUGUAGAGAAUAAGUUUCUCUUUGGAAGCGUGUAAUCUAACAUAAAAAGAAAAAUCAAUCCAAUGAUUUAUGAUGUAUUUCUACUUGCUUAAAUUGGAUAUGAUUCUUUCACAUUUAUCGCUUUUCAUAUCAUGAAUUAGAUUUAUUCCUGUAAUCUUAAAGGAUUAUUUAUGCUUAUUUUAUGAGUUAAAAUUGAGCAUAACAUCAUCUAUAGGAUAAUCUAGUUCAUGCUAUGAAGUCUCCAUGUUUUAGUAAUCUAGCUUUUCAUUCCUUAUCAAAAAUGACUAUAAAAAUGGAAACUAGUGCUUGUGUUACUAACAACGUAUCUCUUGAGUCUACUUAUGAAUAUCUACAAAAGAGAAAGUGCACAAGCCUCAAGGAUUGCUCUUCACCCAAAGGAAGAAAGGUAAAAGCAAAGGUAUGGGAACUCUCUUUCCCAUCAUUAGUUAAUUGCUCAAAAUUAUGAUAUUCUAUCCAUGUGAAGAAUAGAUUCUUUAUUGGACUUAAAUUGACUGGGUGUACAUUCAAUCUCAUCCUCAUAAAUGCACAUGUCCAUUAGAAUCAAAUUCAUGCCUUUGCUAUAUAUAUAUAUAUAUACGUUCUCAUAUUGACUUGCUUCCAAGUAAUGUUUACUAAAUUCAAUAUGAAGAAGUAAAAUUCCAAUGAUUGAUCAAAACGUUUAAAAGGUGCAUAUUCCUCUUUCUCAUGAAAUGCACUAAUGUUCACCAAGAUGGAGUUGGUGGAAGGCGAACUGGGAAGGUUCGCAAUGAUCAGGGGAGAGGAGCCAACGCAAACGUACAACAGGCUCAAGACCCUGGUCAACAAGAUCAGGAGCUAUGGAAGCACGAGAUGGACGGACCACAACGUCGUCCGACUUAUGCUCAGGUCCUUCACUGUUUUUGAUCCUCAUCUUGUGAACUCAAUCCGUGAGAAUCCUAGGUACACAAAGAUGACACCCGAGGAAAUACUCAGAAAGUUUGUAAGCGGGCGUAUGAUGAUCAAGGAAGCAAGAUACGUUGAUGAGGCAUUGAAUGACCCAAUGCCCAUCUACGAGCCUCAAACCAUUGCUCUCAAAGCAACAAGCAGCAGGGAGGCGCUACCUAGAAAGGUGGCACAAGUUGAGGUGGCCAGGCUAAACGAGGAUGAAAUGGCCCUCAUUAUCAAGCGCUUCAAGACGGCGCUAAAAGGACGCAAGGAGCAUCCCAACAAGAGCAAGACAAAGGGAAAGUGUUCCUGCUUCAAGUGUGGUAAGACUGGUCACUUUAUUGCUAAUUGUCCUGAUAAUGAUAGUGACCAGGGACAAGAAAAGAGCGGGAAGAGGGAGAAAAAGAAGUCCUACAAGAAGGCGAAGGGCGAGGCGCACCUUGGCAAAGAGUGGGAUUCAGAUUGCUCUUCGUCCAACUCCGACGACGAAGGACUCACCGCCUCGGCCUUCAACAAGUCGUCUCUCUUUCCUAACGAGCGCCACACCUGCCUCAUGGCAAAGGAGAAAAAGGUAAGCGCUCGAGAUACCCCUACGUAUGCUUCUUCAAGUGAUGAUGAAUCUAGUGAUGAUGAAGUAGACUACACAAGUUUAUUCAAAGGUUUAGAUAGAACUAAAGUUGAUAAGAUCAAUGAAUUGAUUGAUGCUUUAAAUGAAAAGAAUAGAUUGUUAGAGAAGCAAGAAGAAAUUUUAUAUGAAGAGCAUGACAAGUUUAUUAGUGUACAAAAAUCUCUUGUUUUAGAAACUAAAAGGAAUGAGAUUUUAUCUUCUGAAAUUUCUGCUUGCCAUGAGUCUAUUUCUAGUUUGAAGAGUGUUAAUGAUGAGUUAAAUGCUAAGUUAGAAGUAGCUAAUAAGUCUAGUUCAUGUGUGGAACAUGUCGUAAUUUGUAAUAGGUGCAAGGAUUUUGAUGUUAAUGCUUGUAAUGAACAUCUGACAUCCAUUACUAAAUUAAAUGAUGAAGUUGCAAGUCUUAAUGCUCAACUUAAGACUUGCAAGGUGGAUUUUGAUAAACUAAAAUUUGCAAGGGAUGCCUACACUGUUGGUAGACACCCCUCUAUUAAGGAUGGGCUUGGCUUUCGAAAGGAAGCCAAGAACUUAACAAGUCAAAGGGCUCCCAUUUCCGCCAAGGAGAAAGGGAAGGCCCUUAUGGCUAAUAGUGCUCAAAGGAAUCAUGCUUUCAUCUAUAGUGAUAGAAAAUUUUCUAGAAAUGCUCAUAGGAGUUUAUGAUUCACAUGCUAUGAUUGCUUCAAGUUCUUCUUUUGUGCAUGGUAGAAAUAUGCCUAGGAAAAAUGUUGCUCAUAUGCCUAGGAAAGUAUGUAAUGAACCUUCUACAAUUUACCAUGCUUGCAAUACUUCUUUUGCAAUUUGUUGUAAGAAUAAGAAAGUGAUUGCUAGGAAGUUGGGGGCCAAGUGCAAGGGAGACAAGACUUGCAUUUGGGUCCCAAAGACUAUUAUAACUAUCCUUGUAGGACCCAACAAGAGUUGGGUACCUAAAACCCAAGCCUAAUUUGCCUUGCAGGCUUAUGCAUGCGGGGGCUCAAGCUGGAUUAUCGACAGCGGAUGCACAAACCACAUGACGGGGGAGAAGAAGAUGUUCACCUCCUACGUCAAGAACAAGGAUUCCCAAGAUACAAUCAUAUUUGGAGAUGGGAAUCAAGGCAAGAUCAAAGGCUUAGGCAAGAUAGCCAUCACAAAUGAGCACUCUAUCUCUAAUGUAUUUCUAGUAGAGUCGCUAGGCUAUAAUCUGUUGUCUGUUAGUCAAUUGUGCCACAUGGGCUACAAUUGUUUAUUUACAAAUGUUGAUGUGUCUGUCUUUAGAAGGAGUGAUGGUUCAUUAGCAUUUAAGGGUGUACUAGAUGGCAAACUCCACUUAGUUGAUUUUUCGAAAGAGGAGGCCGAUCUAGAUACAUGCUUAAUAGCUAAGACUAGCAUGGGCUGGCUGUAGCAUCGCCGUCUAGCACAUGUUGGGAUGAAGAACCUCCAUAAACUUCUAAAAGGAGAACAUGUGUUAGGACUAACAAAUGUGUAUUUCGAAAAAGAUAGACCUUGUGCAGCAUGUCAAGCAGGUAAACAGGUGGGAAGCUCUCAUCACAGCAAGAAUGUGAUGACCACAUCAAGACCUCUGGAGCUACUUCAUAUGGACCUCUUCGGACCCAUCGCCUACCUCAGCAUCGGGGGAAGUAAGUAUGGUCUUGUUGUUGUUGAUGAUUUUUCCCGCUUCACUUGGGUAUUCUUUUUGCAGGAUAAAUCAGAAACCCAAGGGACCCUCAAGCGCUUUCUAAGGCGAGCUCAAAACGAAUUUGAACUCAAAGUGAAAAAGAUUAGAAGCGACAAUGGGUCCGAAUUCAAGAACCUUCAAGUGGAGGAGUUCCUUGAGGAGGAAGGAAUCAAGCACGAAUUCUCCGCUCCCUACACACCACAACAAAACGGUGUGGUAGAGAGAAAGAACAGGACGCUUAUAGACAUGGCGAGGACGAUGCUUGGAGAAUUCAAGACGCCUGAGCGGUUUUGGUCGGAAGCUGUGAACACAGCCUGGCACGCCAUAAACCGGGUCUACCUUCAUCGCCUCCUCAAGAAGACGUCGUACGAACUUCUAACUGGUAACAAACCCAACGUUUCAUAUUUUCGUGUAUUUGGAAGUAAAUGUUACAUUCUAGUGAAGAAAGGUAGGAAUUCCAAAUUUGCUCCCAAAGCUGUAGAAGGGUUUUUGCUAGGUUAUGACUCAAAUACAAAGGCGUAUAAAGUCUUCAACAAAUCAUUGGGUUUGGUUGAAGUCUCUAGCGACGUUGUAUUUGAUGAAACUAAUGGCUCUCCGAGAGAGCAAGUUGAUCUUGAUGAUGUAGAUGAAGAUGAUGUUCCAACGGACGCAAUUCGCACCAUGGCGAUUGGAGAUGUGCGACCACAGGAACACCAAGAGCAAGAUCAACCUUCUUCCUCAACGAUGGUGCAUCCCCCAACUCAAGAUGAUGAAUAGGUUCCUCAAGAAGAGGCGUGUGAUCAAGGGGGAGCACAAGAAGACCAAGUUGUGGAGAAAGAAGCACCACGGGCCCCUCCAACUCAAGUUCGAGCGACGAUUCAAAGGAAUCAUCCCGUCGACCAGAUUUUGGGUGAUAUAAGCAAGGGAGUAACUAAUCGCUCACGUCUAGCUAAUUUUUGUGAGCAUUACUCAUUUAUCUCUUCUAUUGAGCCUUUCAGGGUAGAAGAGGCCUUGCUAGAUCCGGACUGGGUGUUGGCCAUGCAGGAAGAGCUCAACAACUUCAAGCGAAAUGAAGUUUGGACACUGGUGCCACGUCCCAAGCAAAACGUUGUGAGAACCAAGUGGGUGUUCCGCAACAAGCAAGACGAGCACGGGGUGGUGACACGAAACAAGGCUCGACUUGUGGCAAAAGGUUAUGCCUAAGUCGCAGGUUUGGAUUUCGAGGAGACUUUUGCUCCUGUGGCUAGGCUAGAGUCUAUUCGCAUUCUAUUAGCCUAUGCUACUCACCACUCUUUCAGGUUGUUCCAAAUGGAUGUGAAGAGCGCUUUCCUCACAGGGCCAAUCAAGGAGGAGGUGUACGUGGAGCAACCCCCUGGCUUUGAGGAUGAACAGUACCCCGACCACGUGUGUAAGCUCUCUAAGGCGCUCUAUGGACUUAAGCAAGCCCCAAGAGCAUGGUAUGAAUGCCUUAGAGAUUUUCUAAUUGCUUAUGCUUUUAAGGUUGGGAAGGCCGAUCCAACUCUUUUCACUAAGACUUGUGAUGGUGACCUAUUUGUGUGCCAAAUUUAUGUCGAUGAGAUAAUAUUUGGUUCUACUAACCAAAAGUCUUAUGAAGAGUUUAGCAAGGUGAUGACACAGAAAUUCGAGAUGUAUAUGAUGGGCGAGUUGAACUACUUCCUUGGGUUCCAAGUGAAGCAACUCAAGGACGGCACCUUCAUUUCACAAAUGAAGUACACGCAAGACUUGCUCAAGCGGUUCGGGAUGAAGGACGCCAAGCCCGCAAAGACUCCAAUGAGAACCGAUGGACAUGUCGACCUCAACAAAGGAGGUAAGUCCGUUGAUCAAAAGACAUACCGGUCUAUGAUAGGGUCUUUACUUUAUUUAUGUGCUAGUAGACCGGAUAUUAUGCUUAGCGUAUGCAUGUGUGCUAGAUUUCAAUCCGACCCAAGGGAGUGUCACCUUGUGGCCGUUAAGCGAAUUCUUAGAUAUUUAGUUGCUACGCCUUGCUUCGGGAUCUGGUAUCCAAAGGGGUCUACCUUUGACUUAAUUGGAUAUUUAGACUCCGAUUAUGCUGGGUGCAAGGUUGAUAGAAAGAGUACAUCAGGGACGUGCCAAUUCCUAGGAAGGUCCCUGGUGUCUUAGAGUUCAAAGAAACAAACUUCUGUUGCCCUAUCCACCGCUGAGGCCGAGUAUGUUGCUGCAGGACAGUGUUGCGCGCAACUAAUUUGGAUGAGGCAAACCCUCCGGGACUUUAGCUACAAUCUAAGCAAAGUCCCACUCCUAUGUGAUAAUGAGAGUGCAAUCCGCAUGGCGGACAAUCCUGUUGAACACAGCCGCACUAAGCACAUUGACAUCCAUCAUUACUUUUUGAGAGACCACCAGCAAAAGGGAGAUAUCGAAGUGUUUUAUGUUAGCACCGAAAAUCAGCUAGCCGAUAUCUUUACCAAGCCUUUAGAUGAGAAGACCUUUUGCAGGCUACGUAGUGAGCUAAAUGUCUUAGUUUCGCGUAACUUGGAUUGAUCUAUAGCAUACAUGUGUUUUAUGUCCUUGAUCAUGUUCCUUUAUGCAUAUUAUUGCUUAUUUAUGGUGCUCAAGUUGUGCAAGGGAUCCCCGGACCUCACAAGUCCAUGUGUGAAUGAUGCACAUAUUUAGGGGGAGAAAUGCUACAACUUGACCCUUUGAGACUAACCGUGUGCUUGAGUUUACUUAAUUUAGUCUCAAAGGUGGAUUGAAAGGGAAAGGUGAACUUGGACCAUGCAAGACUUCCACUGCACUUCGUUGAGAGGGUAAUUUACUCCAAGUUCAUCUCCAUGCUCUUAUUGCCUUUUUACUCUUAAUUGACGAUUUUGGUGAGGCAAUGGGGUUUAAGGGUCAAUAAUGAUCCUGUUUUGGUGCUUAAUGCCAAAGGGGGAGAAAUUAAGGCCAAAGCAAAUGGAUCAGCUACCACUUGAGAACUUUGAAAAUAGUAGAGUUAGAACUUUUGAUUUGUCAAAAUACUCUUAUUGUCAAAAUUUGGUCUCUUAUGGGGAGAAUUUAUGAUUAUGGGAAAAGGGGGAGUUUUUGGAUCUUGACCAUUUUCUCUCUUGGAUUAUCUCUCUUUAUGCCCAAACAAGUGAGUUUGACUUAGAGAUAGGAAAAUGAAUUUGAUUUCCAAAAACAAACCAAGUGGUGGCAAAGAACGAUCCAAAUAUGUCAAAUCUUGUAAAAGACAAUUUUUGUUCUCAAUUGCAUUGAUGUUGCACUUCUAUUUGUUGUUUUUUGAUGUGUUGGCAUAAAUCACCAAAAAGGGGGAGAUUGAAAGGGAAAUGUGCCCUUGAGCCUUUUCUAGUAUAUUUUUGGUGAUUAAAUGCCCAACACAUAUUGAGUGAGUAAUUAUGUGCCAAAUGAUGGAUGAAGUGCAAAUCAACAAGAAGGUAUGAUUCUAGACUUAGUAUAUUGGUUUUUUUGUACUAAUAUAUUUGUCUAAGUGCUAGAAUUAGAGAAAAGAGAAAAAGGAAAAGACUUGGCUGGAGCAGCCAAGACUCAGCGCAGUCUAGCACACCAGACUGUCCGUUGGUGCACCGGAUAGUGUCCGAUGCGCCAGGCUGGCUUCUGGCGAACUGGCCACUCUCGGGAAUUCGUUGGCGGCGUACGGCUAUAAUUCACCGGACUGUCCGGUGGUGCACCGGACUGUCCGAUGAGCUAACGGCCGCCAGCUCAACGGUCGGCCGCCAAAUCCGCGGGCGACGCGUGGCCCGCUCCAACGGUCGGUAGGAGGCACCGGACUGUCUGGUGUGCACCGGACAGUGUCCGGUGCGCCAACGGCUACAAUUCUGCAACGGUCGGCUGUGCCAUUUCAGGAAGGCGAUCUGCACAGGACCAUGAACAGUGCCUGUCCGGUGCGCCAUCCGACAGAAGGCAAGAAUUGCCUUCCCAGAUUGCCUCGAACGGCUCCUAGCUGCCUUGGGGCUAUAAAAGGGACCCCUAGGCGCAUGGAGGAGUCACCCAAGCAUUCUUUAAUCAUCUCUAAGCACCAAGACUCCAAUCUCGCGCAUUUGAUUCUUUGUGAUAGUGACUUGAGCUCUAUUUGAGUAGAGAACUCCUCACAUUGUGUUGUGAGCUUAAGUUGUGGCUUGUGUGCGUGAUUGUGCUCGUGCUUUGAGUCUUGUGUGUGUUGCUCUCCCCUCCCUUACUUACGUGCUUCUUUAUGAUCAUCAAUUGUAAGGGCGAGAGUCUCCAAGUUGUGGGGAUUCCUCGCGAACGGGAGAUAGUAAAAGAAAGAAAAAUACCAUGGUAUUCAAGUUGAUCAUUGGAUCACUUGAAAGGGGUUGAGUGCGACCCUCGUCCAGCGGGACGCCGCAACGUGGAGUAGGCAAGUGUUAUACUUGGCCGAACCACGGGAUAAAUCACCGUGUCUCUUGUCCUUGUUUUCUUCGUGACCAUUGUGUUUCACAAGAGCUUGGUCCUUAGCCACUUGAUUCUAUUGAGCUAACACUUAACCAAGUUUUGUGGCUACAAGUAUUUGAUUUUUACAGGAUCACCUAUUCACCCCCCCUCUAGGUGUUCUCAGAGAUGCCUUGGAGACAUAGCGAUAGUAUGGCUGACUAAGUUUUUCAACACCAUCUUUCGGACAAACAGAAUGCCCGACGAGUGGCAGCGGAGUACGUUAGUACCAAUCUUCAAGAACAAAGGAGAUGUUCAAAGUUAUACUAAUUACCGUGGAAUUAAGCUCAUGAGCCAUACAAUGAAGCUAUGGGAGAGAGUCAUUGAACACCGCCUGCGGAAGAUGACGAGCGUGACCCAAAAUCAGUUUGGUUUCAUGCCUGGGAGAUCAACUAUGGAGGCCAUUUUCUUACUAAGACAACUUAUGGAGAGAUUCAGAGAACAAAAGAAAGACCUGCAUAUGGUCUUCAUAGACUUGGAGAAGGCUUAUGACAAAGUACCUAGGAGUGUAAUGUGGUGGGCCUUGGAAAAACACAAAGUAUCAACAAAAUACAUUAAUCUUAUUAAAGAUAUGUACACUAAUGUUGUGACAAGUGUCCGAACAAGUGAUGGAGACACCGAUGACUUUCCAAUUAACAUAGGACUACAUCAAGGGUCAGCUUUGAGCCCUUAUCUUUUCGCUUUGGUGAUAGAUAAGGUCACAAGGGACAUACAAGGCGAUAUACCGUGGUGUAUGCUUUUUGCCGAUGAUGUGGUACUUAUUGAGGAGAGUAGGAGUGGUGUUUUGCAAAAGUUGGAAUUGUGAAGGCAGACGCUGGAAGCAAAAGGUUUUAGGCUUAGUAGGUCUAAAACAGAGUAUAUGAAGUGUGAUUUCAGUGCCAUGGGGUAUGAGGAUGGCGAUGUUAGUCUUGAUGGGCAAGUGGUACCCAAGAAAGACACUUUUCGUUACUUAGGAUCAAUGCUUCAGAAGGAGGGAGACAUCGAUGAGGAUGUCAGUCAUAGAAUUAAAGCUGGAUGGUUGAAGUGGCAGCAAGCUGCGGGUGUCUUAUGCGACCCCUGGGUGCCACACAAACUAAAAGGCAAAUUCUACAGGACAGCAAUCCGACCGGCUAUGUUGUAUGGAGCAGAAUGUUGGCCACUAAAAGACAACAUGCCCAACAACUAAGUGUGGCAGAGAUGCGUAUGUUGCGCUGGAUAUGUGGCCACACAAGGAGAAAUCGAGUCCGGAAUGAUGAUAUACGAGAGAGAGUAGGAGUGGCGCCAAUUGAGGAGAAGCUUAUGCAACAUCGUUUGAGAUGGUUUGGACAUAUCCAACGAAGACCUGAAGAGGCACUAGUGCAUAUCAGAAUAAUUAGGUGUCCCGAGAAUGUGAAGAGAGGUAGAGGUCGACCAACCUUGACGUGGACAGAGGUUGUGAAGAGGGACCUGAAGGAGUGGAAUAUUGAUAAAGAGCUUGUCGUGGAUAGGAAGGGGUGGAAGUGUGCAAUUCACGUGCCAGAACUCUGAUUUGUAGUUCCGCCUUUCCUCCUUAAUCGUUUGACCUUUUCUUGUGCCCCUUUAGAUCUUGCUGGUUCUUGUGGGUUUUAUCUCUUUUUAUGUGUUUCCCCGUUUCGUCGUUUUACGGUUCUCCUUUGCCUUUGUCUCCCUUUUCUUUUCUUUGGAGGUUGAGCUCUGAUGUUUUCAUAUGGGGUUUCAUCUCUAGCCUACCCCAACAUGCUUGGGACAAAAAAGCUUUAUUGUUGUUGUUGUUACCUCAUUUGUUUCGAGUGGAAUCAAACUAAAGUUAGUUAAAGCUUAUCAUGCAUUCCAUCUUUGAUGUGCACGAUCGUGUUUGGUACUUGAUAUUGUUUCAUAGUGUGGCAACGAUGCUGCUGCUCAGUAGCACAACAGAACACUUGGCAUGUAUAAGUUCUUCCCAUUACAUGUUUUGUUUCGUCCUUCUAAAAGUAUAUAUUGUAGCAUUUUUCUCAUGCCAACUAUGCCUCAAGCUGAGAAUUAGUAGCAUGCUACGCAAAUUAUUCUACGAUUUAUUUUUAUGUGUUGCUUGUAUUCAUAUAGUGCACUAACAUUUUAUCGAAUAAUUUGUGCGCCCCUGCCUCUCCCUCCCUCCUCCCCCGCCACAUCACGGAGCUCCAUCUUUGCCGGUCGCUGCGCCAUCCCUGCGCCGGCACCCACACGUACCUUAUCGACUGCACGCCGUCGUCAACAAGGCCCUUGUGACCAUGCUCCGCCACUCCAUUGUCGUCCUAUGGAGAUUAUAUUCCCUCCUUGAAACUGCCCCCUCGUCCUCAACCUCACGCGCCUUGCAGACGGGUGGCCUCACGCCGUGGGAUCGGCUCGACUGUAGCCCGAGUUUCACUUCGACACCAUGUCGGACGACUCGCGGACGUCGUGCUCCAUCUCAUAACAGUGUAAUACACAUUUGUACAUAAGUUAUCGUGAUAUUAUAUGUCUCUAUUGCAAUGCACGUACACUCACCUAGUUCAGCUAUGAAGGCUAGAGUGAAGAUCACAGUUGGUGGUACAUGGCAAUCAAGGUCCAAGUAUGUCUUGACAUCAAAAAAUAAGUACCACCACACAUCUGCAAAGAGCUUUUCGAAAGGAAAAAAACUUCCAAAACACACAUCUGCAAAGAGGACAGAGAAGAGCAUCAAGAAUCUGCUGAUGCCUUGAAAGAGAUCGAGAUCCGGAACAAAUCCAAUCGAUGCGGAAUAAGCAAUGCUGGCAUAAAUUAAUAGUGUGAUCGUGUCAGAAUCUUGAUUAGUACUAGUAUUGCUGCCAGUAUAAAAUGGUCAUCCCUCGUUCUGUCGUGCAUCAUCCUGUGCAGCUAUAGACAUGAUGGUGAUGCAAUUGAUAGUCACUGAUAACAAUACCUUGCCACUAGAUCCGAAUUGGCGUGUUUAUAAAGGGACAUUCAAGUUUCUUACCUACUUUCUGAAGCACGAGCUGCCAAGCAGCCUUUAUUCAAGAAGCAAAGUAAAAAACUGAAACGUGGACGAACUAUUCCCUUUCCGUACUUUACAAUUUGUUUGCCAGCAACUUUCUUCUUGCUGGCUGAUCAUUCAACUUCUCGCUGACAGAGCUAUAUGCUCUUUUUGAACAAGAAUCAUCGGAGCGGUCGGAAACUAUAGUGUAGUUCCUGCUGCUCACAUCCCUGAAGUAGCAUCCAUCAGUUCCCACAUACUUAUACACCUGAUGGGUCUUCCCCAAUCCACUGACCACCAAAUUCUUCUUCACCCUCAUAGUGCCUUGUGCCGACUGUGAAUUCCGUAGGGAGCUGUACAAGAAGCCCGGUUUCCCACCGGAGGUCUUCUUCCCAUUGAUACCAAAUUUAACAAUUGAAUCCAAUGAGUACUCAUCGUCCGCUUGAUCUGAGGUUCCAGUAUAAAGGUACAGCGGGAAAACCUCAUGGAAUUCCUCAGAGAGCAGCACGGCAGAAGCAUCCUUGGCAAAAAUGCCAGACUUCGCAUCGAUUGUUUGGUUCACGAUCUGCACAGUGCCGUUCUUUCUAAACACAUUGAUGUUCUCAUAGCAGAAUCUCUGAUUGAAGGUUGUGGUGACCUCCCCGUACGACGAUUUCACCCAUCCCGUGGCAGAGACGUGCCGACUUGCGCUUGUCACAAACUGCCCGUCUAAUCCAGUGAAUUCUGAGCUCACAUUAAGGUUCAAUCCGGAUGCCUCAUAGCUGAGCAAGCCUCCAGUGGUCUUCUCGCUCUUGUGAUCCAGCCACAGAUGCAAAUUGGCAUCAACGUACCACACAUCAAGAGCAUUUGUCACGCCAAACCCGAAAUCAUGUUCCUCGCCGUCCAGGAGCUUGCCCAAGAAUGGCGUGAUGUCAAUGUCAUAUGUCGGGAGAUUGAAUGAGCCGAUUCCUGUGAUUGGCCGCCAUAGAAGCGGGUUAACACCACCGGUGUAAAUCACAGUGAAUGGCCAAACAGCGCCGACGACUUCACCAUCCACCCUAGCUACGACUUCCCUGAAUGCGCCAUUGCCGGGGACACUGGACAAGUUGUUCGCCCGAAUGUAAUCGUUGGGCGGAUUGGUAUACCAGAACUCGUCGUCGGAAUGGAAGGAAACGAACACUUGAAGGACCGCCCUGUAGGUGUUCGACGGAAUGGCGAGCUUCUUUGACUGCACAUCAGUAGCAUUCUGGAUGGCGAACCACUGCCCGUCGUUCAAGGGUAAGCUCCUUGAAAUGGGCACAAUCAGAUCAGCCUGCUGCUGCUGCUGCGGUGGCGGCUGCGGCUGCGGAUCGGUGCGGAAGUAGAGGUGGAGCGUGAGGUUGGCGUGAUAGACGCCGGUGUAUGUUUUGUCGAUGAGGUUGCCGAGGUACACCGCGACCUCACCGGGCUCCGCGAGGAGGGCGGCGUACCUGGUGACGUCGCGGGACACGGACCAGAGGAUGCCGUUGGGACGCGGCUCGGCGGUGCAGCUGCGGAGGAGCUCGGCGCCCGAGAGCCAGACGCCGAAGAUGCGGUCGAACUGGCGGCCGCGACAGUCGGCGGCCCACUCGAGCACGGCGAGCGCGAGGGCACCGGCGCCGCCCGCGUCGCCGAGGCAAGCCGGCGGCGCGUAGGCGGCGGUGGCGGGGGGGCGGCCGUAUGUGGCGCCGAAGGUAGCCGAGAGGAGAAGCGUGGAGCAAGGCCCCGCGCUGCCGCGCGGAGGGCGGAUCGGGCGAUCGACCUCGAAGAAGGUGGUCGGCGGCUCCGACGCGUUGAGGGAGGCGACCUGCAAGGACGCGCCGAGGCGAUGCCGCAUCUGCAGCGCCGCGGCCGCCGUUACGGAGGGGAGGAGGAUGGCGAUGAGGGCGAGGAGGAUGCUCGCGGUAGCGGCGGAUGGCGCCAUUGUAGAAGCGGUGGGCACGAGGGGCGGUUGGACUGAGAGGAAGAGGAAGCGGAAGUGGACAUGCUACCCGGGGGUUUAAACGAGGUGUUCUAGGUGAUCUGUUAUAAUAACUCCCCACUAAUGAUACGAUAAAUUUAAAAUACAAUGAAGUGAGAUACAAUAAAGUGAGUGGAUGUUUGUGUGGCAAAAGUGAUCGGAAUAACAAGGGAGAGCAAAAGAGAACCAUUUUUCGUUCUAUAACUUGUGAAGCAACUCAAGAGGAGCAAAUAAAGAUUGAUUUAUUUUUUUGAAAAAUGAAAGAAAAACUCGUCUUAAUAUGUUAACAAGGUUGAACAUAGAAAAAUGUUGAUAACUGCAGAAGCUUGGUAUGGAUUGUAAACAGUAUCCUAUAGUUCAUUUUCAAGAAAGAAAAAAAUAUACAUGAAGUAUCAUCCUAUUUCCUGUUUGUGGCAUUAGCACUUCACAAACUAAGGGGGUGUUUGGUUGCUCCUGCUAAAGUUUAGUCCGGGUCACAUCAAGCGUUUGACUUUUAAAUAGGAGUAUGAAAUAUAGACCCAACCAACUGGACUAGAUUCGUCUCGUCUUUUAAUCUUCGGCUGACAAAUUAGUUUUAUAAUCCGACUACAUUUAAUAACCGGAACGGAGGUUCAAAUAUUCGAUGGGACAUGAGCUAAAUUUUAGCGGGGUGUAACCAAACACCCCCUAAGUUAUAUCAUACCAGCUAGUUCACGGGGGAUCAUGAAUAGCUCUUGCAGUAUUCACCGGAUAUUAUUCAUGCCAGCUGAUCCGUCUCGACAGGCAAAGGAACAAAAAUAUGCUAGACUUUUAGACCACUCAGAUAAGUGACUUAAUAAACUUUUAUGGUUUCACGAAGAGACCAGGAUAAUUUGAAAUUUGAGAAGAUUGAUAACAUUGAUGCCGGUGCUCCAAGAUGAUCUUUAUUUCACACACGCAUAUAUUGUACAUAAGUUACAACAAUGAACAAUCAUGUGUCUCUUUACAAUAAAUUCAGACAUCGUUAGAAUGUUAAACAUUGGAAUGGAGGUAUUUUUCAAAACAGUGGACAUUGGAGAAAUGUAUUAUUCUUUGUGGGUGAGCAUUGUACAAAUCUGACAUCCCUCUUCAGCCAAGCAUCAAUUCAUCUAGAACUUCUCCUAGUCUUUUCAAAGAUCUGCUCAGGGAUCAGUGUGCCAUUGCCAUUGGCCUUCUUGAUCUCCAUGUUAUCCUUCUGGUAGAACCCAAUGCCUCUCAGAGCAUAUGUAAUGAAGUCAUUGAAUCCAAUGGCGAUGGCAGCCUCUACCUUAGCCCCAUAAACCAGACUCUGCAUUGCAAGACAGGUAGGAAAGUUAGACAUCACUCGAUAAUUUCUAGUUGUGCCUAUCAGUUUAGGAAACCAAAAUAGUGGGGUAUGAACCUUGAUUCGGGAGAGAUGAACUACACCAAAGCACAUCUCCAACAUCAUCCAAAUCUCUUCAAGCAUCAUACUCUAAGUUAGAAGAUUGCAACCAACAACUAAGAUCAAGCAAUGAAGAAGGCAGCCAUAACUCCCACUGUACAAUAUCCACAUUUUGGUAUUCAACUAUGGACAUUAUUUAUACUACACCACACACACAAAAAUCCUAUAUUCAAGAAAGUAUCAAACACCUAACAUGAAGCUUCUAAUAUCACCCCACACACCCAAAGGAGUUGUGUUUGGAUAGAAAUGCUUGGAAAGAAGCUAUCCACGUGCCCGAACCGUGAUUAGGCAUUUUCUCUUUUAGUUCUCUCAAAAGCUUUUCCCCUCCCCUUUAUCUCUCUUUCUCUUUUUGGUGACUUCUUGUUGGGUUUCAAAUCUAGCCUACCCCAAUUUGUUUGGGACUAAAAAUCUAUGUUGAUGUUGAUACAAAUUUCUAUAAAACAGCCAAACAGCUUACCCAACUUUAGAAACUCUAUGCUCUACAUCGUGGUUGUACAUUUCAUAGAUGUGUAGAUGUAUUGUCCGAACUUAACACCAUCAUUCCCUCCUUCCUUCAAGUGGCGUGAAACAAGCCCCAUAUGGAGAACAAACGAUGAAAAUGUUGUCUUAAAUAUUUUCUCCAACUGAAAAACUGCAAAGGUACAUGUAAAAUAUUUCUGUCUCAAUAUACCAUGAUCAUAAAAAGAUAAAAGUUCAAAUAAACUAGCUAUCAAAAGCUCAAGCACACCUAUCAUGAUACUGAUUUCUGCCUUGAAAAAUCACACAACCUUUGGUUUUGCGCAAGCUACGAAUUAAUUAUCACCAUGAAAAAAAUAAAAUGUGUACCAGUAGAAACUGUGUAUCUUUGGCAGGUGACGUCCACUAACAUGUACUUGUACACCUCGGCUGGAUCAUCUCCUGCAUCGCUGCCACCAGCUCGGCGUUGAAUGGGUACAACGACUGAGAUGGAGCUGCCUGCGUAGGAAAGGUGGGAUGGAGGAGACUGCGGCGGCAUGAGCACGAAAGAGAGAUAUAGAAAAGAAAUGCUAAGUUUACUCUUUACUCUAGCUUAAUGAACAGUCAGCAAAAACAUUUUUGGACUUAAAUGAUAUUCAGUUUCCAAAUAUGUUUUUAUUAUGGUUAAAUAUAUUUGUAAACACAGUAUGUCGCCUUGUACACAUUCUGAUCCGUGAGACAGAAUGUUUUCAACCUUAUAACAUGAAAAAUAUAUAGAAUCGAAGCAUUUUUUAUUAUCAGUGUUAUAUUACUGAUAUUCAUGUGAUAUUUUUCCUAAAGGACAUGCAAUUUGUUGGUUGUUUGGAACUAAAAACUAAGUGAAUAGCAAAACCAAAUCCUAUUGUACCAAAGUCUAUUACAGGCUGUACCAAUAUCUAAAUGAGUAGUUGAACCUGCACAUAGCUAUCUUGGGGUAGGGCGGUUCUGGUGGUGGAUCGUUUAGACGGUGAUCCACCAAGCACUGAAAGAUGGAGAGGUGUGUUCUUUUGAGAGAAAAACCAAAUAAGAUUAAUAAAACAUAGUAAUGUAUAUUCAGCUAUAUUUAACUACAUGACCACGGAAUAGUUUUCAGAUCAUCCAUAGAGGGGUCAUUGUUGCCAGUUACGACAACUAUAUUCUGCUAUAUGCAACAAACCCAUUUCUGCUCAAGCCAGAAAGUAGUGUCACAAUCUAUCCAUAUUAUUAGCAUCAAGAAUUGAAAUUAACUAAAUUAAGACAUACUGAAUCAACAUAGAAAAACUAAAAUGACAUGAGUAUACAAAUUAACCUACAAGCCAAACUAAGACCACAACCACAUAGUAAAUCUAUGAGAAGAAAAAAUGUGAUUGUAAACAUUGAACAUAAGUGUUUGAAAGUGCAGGGGCGGUACACAUAUAGAAAAUAUCCAUCGGCUGGAUGGCUAAUAAAGCAGAGCAGUACCUGAACUGAAGAAAGCUCCUUUGACAGACAUAGCAUUCUAGUUUUUAUCUUUUAUACCAAUAUCUAUCACAUCUGAAAUUUGAUUGUAAAGAGAUAGGAGUUGUAGAAAGAGAAAAACUAAAGGAAAAAUGAAUAAUACGAAUUACAAAAUGUAGAACAAACACUUUACAAAAUAUGCACAAUCCAGUUCUAUUUCAAAUAUGUGUUAAAAUAAAUCAUAUUGCAUGAGCUAUAUUAAAGCAGAAAAGUACCUAAAACUGAAGAAAGAUCAUCUGACUCAGGAACCAUAAACACACACUUUUGCCAUCAGAUCUGUUGCAAGAUGAAAUAACUUGACAUUACUUAUAGCUAUAGAGCAUGUCAAUCUGUUGCAAGAUGAAACAACCUUGGCUCUUAGCAUGCCCAAAUCUACCAGAAUACAAAAAAAAUAAAUGCACUAAUGAAAUUUAUGUAUACCAAAGUUGGGCCCAGAGAAAUUUCACAUCAACAGCCGCAGAAACUUUGGCCUAGCCUCACAAGAAACCAAAUGAGCUAUGUUUGCUGGUCUGAAUGAACCAACUACCGAUUGUGCAUCAAGUUAAACGUCAAGGGGCUAGGUAGAUCUGGAAGUUACCUGAUGAUUUUGAAGACGUGCUCAAGAGGCAUGUCCUCCUUCUGUGCCUCGACGGACGUGGAGGUGGGGUCAUCCCCACGGGCCCAGACAGUGAACGAGAGCUCGCCGCCGGUGUAGGUGAGGCUCUUGCGUAGCUUCUGCCUCCGUUGUUGCUGGUGGUACGACGCCACAUUCUCCAGCACUUUCUCCUAGAUCGAUCGCCCCUACGGCGACGCCAUGGACGCCACCAUCGCGACCGCGAAAGGACGAGAGGAGUCGGGGUGCGGACAGCGCCGGAUGUUCGGGGGCGAGGAGUGGAGGUGGAGGCCGAGAUGGAGGCAAGUAGGCAGAAGAGAGAAUUGGGGAUCAAGGAGAGCAGCAGAGGUAGUUUGGGGAAGGGGGUUUCGUGGGGAGGGAGACGCUUUGAUGAUUGAUGAGUUUGAGUAAGAGAGAAUAGACAAAUAAAAUAAUCUGGACCGUUGGUUUUUUACAGUGGGAUUUAUCUGGGGUUAAAUUGUUUAGUGGCUUUAGUAGAGACAUGAGUGUGUGGGAUGAUUUAUGGGGUGUAUCUAGUUUAGUUUAAACUGGUGGAUUUAAGGGGUAGAGAUGCAAAAAACAAUUCUCUAGCACUAGAUGUUCGACUCUUUCUGGAAAUAUUAUUAUCAUCGGACAAAGUUUGAGGCUGCAGAAAUUACUAAGGGUAUGUAGUACAACGUAGAGUCUCUUUGAUCAGUUUUCUAUGCAUAAUGAACACCUAAGAAACUACAUCAUAUAAUAAAUGGUAUUGAAAAUCAGUCAUAUUAUAAAUGUUGUCAAGAGACCUUAUCUACAAAGAGUCGUGCAAAGACAAACUGAAUAGUCCGUGUCGGAGGGCAAAUCUCUCCGGCCGGGUGGCGGAUUGCACCCGCCCUAAUUUCUAAAAUGAGGAGGGGCCUAAGCAUCUUGCUUGUUACGAGGUUGGUGGAUGAACACACGAGAGCACAGGAGGGUUUAGAGUGGUUCGGGCCGCCGGGGCGUAACACCCUACUCCACUGUGUAAUGUAUUGUGAGUCUGAGCUUGGCUCUCCUUGUAACGUCGCAUGCCUCCCCUUUUAUAGCUGAAGGGGGGCAUGCACAAAGGCACUGAGCCCCGACAUGUGGGCCCAGGGACAUAGAGAAUAUAACACUUGGGACUAUAAAUAUUUGCUGCCGGGGCAAUCCCCUUGUGUCCUGUCGUCCGAGAUCUGUGUAUCUUUGGCGUGCAGGGGAAGCUUCUUGUAGAAGGGAAAACACAGUGCGCUGCUAGGCACGAGCGCACUGUUCGCCAGUAGACCCAGCAGGCGCGCCGCCUGCUGGAUAACCUUGACAUCGCCUGCCAGCGGAUGGGACGGGACGCAUUAAAUGCUGAGAGGGCACGUCGCCCGUCAGCGCAGUGGCAGGCGGCGCGUCCUCUCCUCAAUAAAUGCCGGGGCUGCACGGCUUUACGUUAGGCUCGGCCCGAUGGCUUAUGUCAUGGGCCACAUGCAGCGGGUCUCCGCCUAAGCGAGAAGUGAAGGGCAAGGCCUGGACACGUGUCAGCACCGGACCCCUACUCACGCCAGGGUCCUCCUCGUUCCGGGACCUUAAUGAGGUUCGGACCUUACUCGGAGGCUCCGGACUUAUACGUAUAGGGGUUCGAUGUCCUUUUGUGGAGGUCCGGACCCCACGAUUCAUACUGGGAUGUGUUGUCUUUUCCUACCACGUGGCGCCCUUUGGCCUGCCCAUGCGGUGGGGUCAGGCGCCGUCCUCCGCGUGACCUAGAGACAUCACAUGGGUGCGGCGUCUUCAUACUGUAGAAGAGGGUACCCCUGAUUUAGGGUACCGACAGUCCAUAUCUUUUAUAUUUCAUAUUUAACCCCAUAAAUAUCUCUCAAAAAUAUGGUAUUAAAUGAGGUUGUAUAUGACCUAGUCUCUAUUUGUUUUAUUAUAUUGAUGAGGCGGCCUACAACAAGAAGGUAAAAGCUAAGUCAUUUUAGGUUGGAGAUCUAGUUUGGAGGACGGUCUUGCCAUUAAGGAGCGGUGGCUGGAAGUUUGGCAAGUGGUCCCUAAGCUGGGAAGGGCCUUAUAGAGUUAUACAUAUGAUCUCUAGUAAUACAUAUAUGUUGCAAACGUUGCAGGGUGAUGAGCUAUCCAAGGCAUGGAAUGAUCGUUUCCUGAAGCAAUAUCAUUAUAGUGUAUGGCAAGAUGCUUAAAAACCGAUGGUUUCACAUCGAGUUGCUUACAACUUGUACUAGAUGCUUUUGGUUCGUUUAGCUUCCCUAAAAGUCAGGGCAUGUGUUGAGAACCAGAUUUAGCACCUGGGCAUGACCGGAGGUCUGGCCAUGUGGUCCAGACAAUCUGUGGGUGUAACCCAGACGGUCCGCGAUUAGAUUAACUCGGGCAAGAGUCCUUAUCCUGCACAUGCUUAUAUGGCUAAUCUCGCAGAAAUCUGUUGGGAUGCGCCUAGGAAUGAGUCCACACCCCUCCUAUAAAUAUGAAGGGGUACAACCGAUGAGGUAGCAUAUAAUCGAUCCAAUCAAUCUAUUUACCAGUUCUUUUACAUUCUUUCCCUAGGAGUAGCAGUAAUUACUCAUCUGCAUACCUAAUCUUCACCUCUCCUCGACUCGACGUAGUCUAGAGGCGUCUUGGGUGGUCUACCAACUCUAAGACAACCCUAAGAUAUUUCCUCCCUAAUGGGGUCCCUUCUAGGAGGCAAGAUCCAGGUUUUGCAGGAGAUGAACGAAACCUCUACACGGCUCGCGGACGAUCUGCCGCUCAUUCGUGGACGUUCCACACACCCGCAGAGAAGAUCAGAGCCCCUCUAUGCAGCCACAGGCGGUCCGAUCGCUUUCUGAUUUUUUUACAAAGUUUGUAGUCGUUUUCUGAUUAGAAAAGAUUUGUUUAUUUUGUUUAUUCGCACGAAUAAAUAUUUGUGUAACUAGCCUUCACACAUUCGGUUUGGAAAUUGGAUUUUCGUUCCUCGUAUAGGCUCUGGACUUAUACGUAUAGGAGUCUGAUGUCCUUCUGUGGAGGUCCGGACCCCACGAUUCAUACUGGGAUGUGUUGUCUUUUCCUACCACAUGGCACCCUUUGGCCUGCCCAUGCGGUGGGGUCAGGCGUCGUCCUCCGCGUGGCCUGGAGACGUCGCAUGGGUGCGGCGUUGUAAGUGCAAUCAACCCUAAUUGAGGGUUUUGGUGAUUAAAUGACAAAACAAACAGAGAUUCUAACAAGUUUGCUCCUAGUAUGUACACAGUAAUUCUACAGACAGGAGAAGCACAGAUCUUACGAGCAUAAAAAUAGAAAGCACAGCGGAUUUAAAAUUCCACAUCAAAUGGCGUGCUCCAAGUGCUUUGAAACAACGGCAGUGCUCAAUUUAUAAUUCUUGAGUUAUAGGAGUCGCCGUGCAAUUAAGAGGGAUCCGCAAUGGUUAAGUAAGUCAUGCAAUGAGCUAAGUUCAAAAUCCUUUGAAAUCAUCUUCGAGAACAUUUUUCCAGAUCAUGAAUGCCCUUGAGAAAAACCAAUUUUACUUCCCACAAAAACUCCACUUUGUUCUCUUCAAAAUACUCAAAAUUUGGUUUCAGCCCUGGAAACCGGUUCAACCGGUUUUGGGACUGCUCCUCUGUCAUCCCUGCUCUGACCUAUCUGACAGUCAGAGCUGUCAGAUAAGUCGUUGCAGAUCUUUUGGGAAAACCGGUUCAACCGGAUUUUUUCCUACUCAACCGGUUUUGAAUCCGGUCGAGUCUCCGGCUGAGUAGGUUAGUGAACCGGGAUCUCCCUAGUAGAAACCGGUUCAACCGGUCUGAAAACCGGAUCAACCGGUUUUUACCCCUUUUCUCCCAACGGCUGCCAGCUUUUGGGGGAUCCUUUAUAUACCCCCUCACACUCUCUCUCUUAUUUUCUCCUGCCUCUCCCACGAAAUCUAGGCUGACCAAACUCUCAACAAGUGCAUUCAUUUCACCUCUCACACCCGCAAUCGUGUCUCCUUCAAUCAUUUGAAGGACCCUUGGUGUGAGGUGAACUCGAUCUAACACGCUGUUAAUUUCAUCUCGAUUCUCCUAUUCUCUUUGUUCUUGAGCUCGUUGCAAACUUAACCCUGUGCGGAUUUGUUACUCUUGGAACCUCGUGUUCCUUGACGGUUAGAGGUUGCUUGGGAGUCUCCAAAUUUGUGGACGACCCCAAGAAGUUUGUAUCACCCGCUCUUUGAGCAUAUUUGAGAAGAGAUUGCCUUGACCUUUGUGGUCGGCUUGUGGAGGAUUAGGGUUGGAAAAGACCCGGCCCUUUGUGGGCUCCUCAACGAGGAGUAGGACACCUUUGUGGUGGUUGCCGAACCUCGGGUUAUAUCGCGUGUUCUUGUGUAUUCUUGUUAAGUGCUUUAAAUUCGUUGGUUGGUUCAUAUUAUAUAUCCGAGUAGAUUUUGUGUAGGGCAAGUCGUUAGCAAAAUUCUUCACUACUUCAUAUUUGUUUAACAGAUUAUCUAAUCUAAGUUGAGCAGGUUCAAACUUGUUCAGUUGUGAUCAAAAUCAACUGAACCGGUUUGCACCAGUGCAACUUUAAUUUAACCUAUCUCGAAGUUUUUAGUGAAAAAUUUCAGGUGUAGCCUAUUCACCCCCCCUCUAGGCUACUUUCAAUUGGUAUCAAAGCUUCGUACCUCGUUUUACGCUUAACCGCGUGAGGAAACGAUCAUGUCUACUCAACGGGACCAUGUGGAUCCUCUCCUCGAGGAAAUCCCCAUCACAUCUUCUAGUGAGGAAGUGGACCCCAAGGUCCUCGACCUCGCCAUGAAGAUUGCCGAGAAAAUGUUCCUCAAAAUGAAAGAGGAAGAUGCUAAGAAAAAGGCCGAAGAAGAAGAAUCAAGAAGAAAGGCCGAAGAAGAUAAAGGUAAGGGAAAAUUUGAUUACAAUGACGAUCUAGUGGAUCUUUUGGUGUCGAAGGUGUGAGCAAGGUAAGUCUCAACACCUAAGGAUCAUCUACCAAAAGCAAAGGUAACGAAUUUAGUAAAGUUCAAUUCGAUUACUCUAGAAAUUUUAUUCCCAACUUCUCUUCCGCCCCACUUGGAAAGUUACCAACUCUUAGUGAGUUGAACUAUGACGAGUGGGCCGACAAGAUGAAGUCACAUUUAAUCGGUGUGCAUCCUAGUCUUUGGGAGAUUGUUAAUGUAGGUAUGUAUAAGCCCGCCCAAGGAGAAGAGAUGACUCCGGAAAUGAUGCAAGAGGUUCAUCGCAAUGCUCAAGCAGUGAGCAUAAUUAAAGGAAGUCUUUGUCCAGAAGAAUACCGGAAAGUUCAAGGAAGAGAAGAUGCCCGUGACAUUUGGAAUAUUCUUAAAAUGUCACAUGAAGGAGAUCCCAAAGCUAAGAGACAUAGAGUUGAAGCUUUGGAAAGCGAGCUUGCUAGAUAUGAUUGGACCAAGGGUGAGUCGCUUCAAUCACUCUUUGAUCGGUUGAUGGUGUUAGUAAACAAAAUAAGAGUGCUUGGAAGUGAAGAUUGGAGUGACUCCAAGGUCACAAGAUUAUUCAUGAGAGCAUAUAAAGAAAAGGAUAAGAGUCUAGCAAGGAUGAUAAGGGAUCAUGAUGACUAUGAGGAUAUGACGCCUCAUCAAUUAUUUGCAAAGUUUCAACAACACGAGUCCGAAGAAGCCCCUAUCAAGACAAGAGACUCUCAUGCUUUGAUCACUAAUGAUCAAGACACCCCCAAGAAGAACAAAGACCACAAGGCAAAGAAAGUGAUCGAGACAUCAAGUGAUGAAGAUAGCUCAAGUGAUGAAGACACAGCUAUGUUCAUCAAAACAUUCAAGAAAUUUGUAAGGAAAAAUGACAAGUUCCAAAGGAAAGGAAAGAAGAGGGUAUGCUAUGAAUGUGGACAAACCGGUCAUUUCAUAGCUGUCGGCGUUUCGACCCCGGGGGGGGGGGGGGGGGGGGUCCCUGGAUCGACGAGUAAAUUGUCGCCGCGUGUCCCAGCCCAGAUGGGUCGGCGUGAGACGGAGCACGAAGGGGGGAAGAAACAGACAAAGGGGAAACCCGAGGCCUUCGUGUUGCCCUGCGCCCAGGUCGGGUGCGCUUGCAGUAGGGGGUUACAAGCGUUCGCGUGGGAGAGCCUUACGCGUCAGCCCGUUCUCCCGCGCGGCCAACCUUCUCGUAUGAGAGCCCUGGACCUUCCUUUUAUAGGCGUAAGGAGAAGAUCCAGGUGUACAAUGGGGGGUGUAGCAGUGUGCUAACGUGUCUAGCAGAGAGGAGCUAGAGCCCUGAAAGUCGCCUAGAGGGGGGGUGGAUAGGCGAAACCUGAAAAUUAAAACUUUAUCCCCAACUAGAUCCCUUGAUUAGUGGUUAGAACAAGAUAUAUAAUUAUCGGAGUAUAAAAACUAAGUCCUUGCUUGUAAAGAGUAUUGCUUUCAAAUAAUGCGGAAUUGAUAAAUCAAUACUAGUAAUAAGUCUAUGAGAAUAAAUCACAAGGGCUUAGAUAAGAAGAGUAAUGCUACGAGUUCUUUCUUGCAAUGUGUUGCCUCACUAAAUGAGAAUUUAACUUAAGGCAACACCAAAUAAGGUUAGCAAAGAAUAGUGCAAGGAAAAACCUAGAGUGAGGGAAAACAAAUAAAUCACAAGCAAUAAACACAAUGGACACGGGUGAUUUGUUUUACCGAGGUUCGGCCCUCGAAGGCCUAGUCCCCGUUGAGGAGUCCACUUAAGGACGGGUCUUUUUCAACCCUUUCCCUCUCUCCACCGAUCACCCAAGGAUCGGCGAGCUCUUCUUCUUCUCAAGGAUCACUCUUGAUCCCACAAGGACCACCACACUCUUUGGUGUCUCUUGCUAGCUUUUACAAGCCUCCAAAACUUUGGAGGAAGUUCGAUGGGAGUCAAAACUCCACGCGCAAAUGAACACAAAGAUGUAGCACACACUAUCUCUCAAGGAAUCUCACAAGGCACUAGGGCUAAACUCAAUUGAGUAGCUCUCAAUUGCUUGCUCUCUCUUUUGUGGCACUUGUGUUGGUUGUAGUGGUCUAAAUCUUGUGUAUAGGAUGGAUCAAUGAAUAUAUGUGGUUGGGAGGGCUUGAGUAUGUCAACUAGAUGACUUGGAAUGUUGUUUGGGCUCCCACACCUUGAAGUGGUCGGUUGGGGUGGUAUUUAUAGCCCUCAACCACCCAUAUAGCCGUUGGGGCGCAUCUGCCAGAAAUUGCACUGGCGGACGGUCCGCGGCUAGGGCCCGGACGGUCCGCGACCCUCCAAUGGUCGAUUCUGACAUCUUCAACGGAUACUUCUGACAGAUCAACGGUUAGAUCAACGGCUAUCUGCCUUGGUGACACCACGCGGACGGUCCGCCCUUGGUCCCAGACGGUCCGCGCCAGCUAUAUAAUUCCUUUUGCUCAACUUGUCACCUUCGGGCUUUUUGGUUCUGCACCGACCAGACGGUCCGCGCCUGAGGCCGGACGGUCCGCGCUUGGCCUCGGACGGAGCUUGCUUUUUCAUCGGACGAUCCGUAGUAGAGAUAUGUGUUUUUGCAUUGGUUCUGUCCGAGGAUCAUCCUGGUGUCGCGGACGGUCCGCCGCAGGGGCCCAGACGGUCCGCGCAUAGUCUGUUUUUCCAAAAAGCUUCUCCUGUCCGGAAUAAUCUACGGUAUUCCGGACAGUCGAUUUAGAAUAGUUGUAGAUGAACCUUUGACACCUGUAGAACAUAUAAUCUAGAGCAAACUAGUUAGUCCAAUUAUUUGUGUUGGGCAAUUCAAUCACCAAAAUCAUUUAGGAAAAGGUUUGACCCUAUUUCCCUUUCAAUCUCCCCCUUUUUGGUGAUUGAUGCCAACACAAACCAAAGCAAAUAUAUAAGUGCAGAAUUGAACUAGUUUGCAUAAGGUAAGUGCAAAUGUUACUUGGAAUUAGACCAAUUUACAUUUAAUGUUUUAGACCAUGCUUGCACCAAUUGUUUUGUUUUUGCAAACUCUUUAGGAAAUUCUUUUCAAAGUCCUUUUGCAAAUAGUCAAAGGUAAAUGAAUAAGAUUUUGAGAAGCAUUUUCAAGAUUUGAAAUUUUCUUCCCUUGUUUCAAAUGCCUUUCCUUUGACUAAACAAAACUCCCCCUCAAAUAAAUUCUCCUCUUAGUGUUCAAGAUAGUGUUCAAGAGGGUUUUAAGAUAUCAAUUUUGAAAGGGCUACUUUCUCCCCCUUUAGAACACAAAGAGAUACCAAUUUGAAAUUUACCAAUUGAAAAUCAUUAGUUUUAAAAAUAGGGUGGUGGUGCGGUCUUUUUGCUUUGGGCUCAUACUUUCUCCCCCUUUGGCAUGAAUCGCCAAAAACGGAUACUUUGAGUGAGAUAUAAGCCCUUUUCUUUCUCUCCCCCUUUGGCAAACAAUUGAAAUAUUCAAUUUAAAUAGUGAUAUGAGUGAAGAUUAUACCAAAGAGGAGAACUAUGCGGAAUGCUGAUAAAGAGUGGAUAAUACGAUGGAGUUGAGUGGAAGCGUCGUUUUUGCCGAAUAUUCCAUUUCCCUUUCAAUUCUAUGACUAAGCAUGAGAAUACACUUGAAAACACAUUAGUCAUAGAUAUAAAAGAGAUAUGAUCAAAAGGAUAUACCAAAUUAAGCAUGAUCAUACUUCUAUAUAACAUAGAUUUGCUCUCCCUAAAUAUAUGCAUGGAGUGGAAACACAUAUUUUGGCCUUAAAUGCCAAUUGCACAUAAUUAGGUUAAUGAGAACAUAUCUAUAUCAUAUGGAAUGUGAAGUGCAUUGUGUCAUAGUAUAAGUGUGAUGCUCAUGACAGUUUAUGCACUUAUGAAAGCAUGUUGUAAACAUUUCAAGCAUUUUCCCUUAAGGUUUUCAAAGAGGCUUAAGGACCAUCCACCUUUGGAAUAAAGGCAACUUAUCCUCGUUACAAGGUUAAGCUUUAAGCUCUUUGACAAUUAAAUCACUUCAUCUAGUUUCAACAAAGAUGCAUUAAAGCAUGAAUGAAUUAUUUGAGAGGUUAAACUAGAUAUGAAGCAGGUAUAACGCAAAGGACAUGCUUUCUCUUCCUUCUAUCUAAGAUAUGCAAAGAAUGCUUAUAAGAGGAAGAUUUGGGUACAUGUUUGAAUGAAAGGAAGUAGUUUUACCGUUUUGUUCCUUCGCAUAGAGACGCUCUCUUCAUUGUGCUUUGUCCUUAGUCUUAGAUGCUUAAGACCUAUUCUUAAUGACAAUAUAUGGAAAUAUUUUGCACAAGAGAGAGUUCUACAACUAGUGAUCUUUUCAAGUUAUUGUUAGCAUAUAUCAAACGGAUCACAAGUUGCAUAAAUGUAUCAUGAAUUCUCCUUUUAACUUAGUGCAUAUCAAGAUAGAUGUUGAUUGAAAUUACCAAUUGAAAUCAAAUUGAAAUUACAUGAGACACUAAGAAGCACAAGUGAUAAUUGAAGUUAUUCAAUGAUCAAACAACAAAUGCGAUCAAAAGAACAACAUAGGCAUUAGAUUUGCAAUCAAGCUCAAAAAUAGGAGAAUCCAAUAAAUAUGCUACUUUAGCAAUGAAAACUACAAUCCUUGAUGAAGAUGACAUCACUUUAACAAGAUGGAUUAAUUUGAAGUAGCAUACUUUAUGAGAAACUUAAUCUCAUGCAAGAGACUCUAUGAAAUUACUAAGAUAAAGUGACAGUCUCAUCGCAAUCAAGAUGUAGAUAGAGUCUCCCCCUAGAGAUAUGCAUCAAGUAUUUGAAUGAAUGGAUGCAUUUACUUUAAGGACAAAUAGAGAGAAGCAUUAUACAUCUUGAUCAAGGCUCAUUAAAUUUGCAAUAAACAACUUGAGCCUAGUAUUCUCAUUAUGAAAGGAUUUAGAAUACUUACAACCACACCAUUGAUUGUUUCGUAGAAGUAGGUGGUGUUUCACUUAAUGUCUUUCUCUUUCAUGUGAGUGUCCUCCCUUUGUAGUUGUUCCUUUUUCCUUCCAAACUUAUUGAAUAUACUCAAGAAAGAUGUUAAUAGCACAAGGGAGUAAAUGAUGAAUGAUGGUUUCUUUAGAUAGAAGAUAAGAACAAUUCAUCAUCCAUAAGUCACAUAGACAUGAAGUAAAUUUCUUAACAUUAGUGCACAUCAAAAGAAAUAUGCACUCUCUAAACAUUUUGAUCAAUCACAGGAAAUUUUCUUCUUCAUAUUGAAUUUAUUAAUCAUCACUUGGAGGCAAGUCAAUAUGAGAACAUAUAUAGCAAAGGCAUGAAAUAGAUUCUAACGGAUAAGUGCAUUUUUAAGAAUGAGAUUGAAUGCACAUCUAGCCGACUUUGGUUUAAUACAUAAUCUAUCCUUCACAAAGGUAGAAUAUGAUAAAUUAGAGUAAGCAACCAUUGAUGGGAACUAUAUUUGAUUGAGAAGAUGAGUUCUCAUACCUUUGCUUUACCUUCCUUCCUAUGGGUGAAGAGCAACCCUUUGAGGCUUUAAACUUGCACUCACUCUCUUGUAGAUUUCAUAAGUGAGCUCAAGAGAAAUGUUAAUAGCAACACAAGCACUAGUUUCCCUUUGAGUAAUCAUUUUGAUAAGGAAUGGAAAAUAGAUUACUAAAGCAUGGAAACUUUAUAAUAUGAACUAGGCUAUUCCAUGAUGCAUGCUUAGUUUUUGCUUACAAAACAAGCAUAGAUAAUUCUUUUAAGAUUAUGGGAAUAAAUCUAAUUCAUAACAUGGAGAGCGAUAGAUGAAGAAGAAUCAUAUCCAAUAUAAGCAGGAAGCAAAAACAACAUAAUCAUUGGAUUGACUUUUCCUUUUAUGUUAAAUUACGCAUCUCCACAAAGAAACAUACUAAUGAGACUACAUGGGUUACUUAGAUACAAGCAUUAGUCUCACUAUUCUAGUUAUAGAGAGAAUGUUCCUUUUGUAGAUGUCGUAGGGAUUUGAAUUCCUUACAUGACAUCUUAUUCUUUUAGGAACUUGGAACAUCUUUCUAUAUCUAGAAUCAUGGCAAUAAUAGGAUAAUAAGUGUAAAACAUGCCAUGAGUUACUUAAUAUUGUAAAACAUGUAGAUUGCCAUAGUAUAGGAAUGAUGAAUAUACAAUCUACCAUAUGAGAGGAACUUCUUCAAAGAAUGGUGAUAUAAUUUUAAAGAUACUUGAAGUGCUUUAUUUUUUCUAUGUGACUACAUAAGACACAUAAGAAAUGGUAUUCUAAAAUACUUGCACAUAAAAGCAUAAAUGUUACCAUCCUUUGGCUUUCCUCCAUGUUGUAGGUCUUGACUUUUCGGCAUAGGAUUAAUUCUUUAUUUCCUUCAACAUUAAUAUCUUCCCGAGAUGAUAUGAGUUUUAGACAUAAUAAUUUGAAAUAACCUUGGGUCAAUCUUGGAUAUGUAGAUCACUGUAGAUUGAUAGCUUGAGUUAAUAAAAAUUGAAUUGACUCUCUCAAGCAUCCCAAAGCUUCAUACCAUCUCCAUCUCCUGCAAAGCUUGUCAAGCAUGUUUUGGUACCCAUCUCUUGAUGGGUCCAUUAUGGUUAGUUAACAAAGAUCUAGGAACCCAAAUGUCCUUUGCGAUAGCGUUUGACAAAUUCAUUGCCUUUCUAGCACAAGUUGCAAUUUUGGGUUGCCUAGUUAUAUAUGAAUCAAAUGACAAGCUAUGAGUUGAGGAGUUACCAAUGGGACAAUCAUUGCAUUGAUGUCCCUUCCUUCGGCAUGUGUAGCAUAGGCGUUUUCCAAGUUUUGAAGAUUUCUUCUUUCCUUGUUUGUUGCUUGCUACAUGGUUAGUAAAAACUUUCUUUUCUAACCCUAUGCCUUUUUGUUUCAAAUGGGGACAAGAUUUAAUAAAGUGUCCCUUCUUUGAACAUUUAAAACAGAGUUUAUCAUCCUUGUUAAUAAUCAAGCCAUUUUUAAUAUAGGGACAUGAUCUAAUCAAAUGCCCCUUUUCAAAGCAUUCACUACACCUCUUAUUUCUAUUUGUAAGAAGUGUGACUUGAUUAUUACCUUGGAUGUUACCUUUUAUGGAGGCAUGGUUGAGGCUUUUGGAGGCGGUAUUGAUUUUCUUCUUUUGCUUCCUCCUCUUGGCAAUCCUCAAGUCCUUGACAUUUUCUUCAAGAGAUUUAGUGCACGCCACGGUUGUUCCCGUCUCAAGCUUCUUCACCAUGUGAUCACGGUUAUCUUGAGAAGGUUGAGCAAUGCAUUUCCCUUUUAGUUGUGUCAAGCUUAAUUUUAGCCUCUCAUUUUCUUCUUUGAGCUUUUGAUAUGUAUCAUCGUUUGCUCCUGCAGAUUCUAGCUCAAAAGAAGAUUUGCUUGUCGACGGACAACAAGCAUUAGCACAUGGUAAUGUAGCUUCAAUUUGAACACAUGUGCAAGAGUGAGGUUGUUGGGAUUUUAAGUUUUCUAUCACAACCUCAUGAGUAAUAUUCAACAUGAUAUGAUCAUCCAUAAGAUUUUCAUGAGAGCAUAAGAGCAUAUCAUAUUUUUCUUGAAAAGCUAGAUUUUCAACUUUUAGCUUUUCUACUUGGUCCUUAAGCAAGGUAUUACUAUUUACUAAUUGAGUGAUACAAUGUAAAGAGUUAUCUUGCUCAAUUGAAAUAGUUUCAUACCUUUGGACCAAAUUAACAUGAGAGCACUUUAGCUCCUCAUGUUCUUUAGUCAACUCGUCAAAGUAUUGCAUUUUGAUGGAGAGAAUAUCUUCUAGCAUUUGACGAGCUUUGCUUUCCUCUUUUGCUCUUUCUAGAAGUUUGAGCAUGACCGCCUUAUCUUCUUGGCUUAGGCGAGCGUAGAGUUGCACGGAGCUUCCUUCUUCCUUCUCACCCUCAUUUGUGCUUCCGCUAUCAUUUUCAUUAGCCACACAACACAUGUGGGAAUUGAAAUGGGAAGACAAACCUUUUGGAGAGGUGGAUUCAUCGUUUGGUCUCCAUCGGUUAUUUUCUUCUUCUUCCUUGCAAGGGUUAGUAUCACAAAUACCAACGGAAGUAGAAGCACAAAAGGAACUAUCAUGUUUGGACUUAUCAAAUUUAGUUUUAAUUCUAGUCCAAAUACCAUGCACAUCACAAAUAGGUUUAUCAUAUUUUAUUAUGAAGGCAUGAUAAUCUUCUUUGUUAAGGGAUUUACUUAAGAUGUCAUAAGCUAGAUAGUUUAAGUGAAUACAUCUUAAAUCUUCUUCGGAGGCAUUUUCCCUAGCAUAGUUAGGAGGAAUAAUACUCUUGUCUAAAAUUUGUUCUAAUUGAGGAUCUACGAUUCUAAAGGCAUUUAUCACUCUAGUAGACCAUGAAUCAUAAUUAGAACAAUCGGAAAGCAAUAUCUCAAGAAUUACCUCCUUCGGAGUUGUCUUCUUGUUCUUUUGGGAUCUUCUACGAGCCAUCACUUCGAGUUGUUAGACUCAAUAUGAAGUGCCUAGCUCUGAUACCAAUUGAAAGUCGCCUAGAGGGGGGGUGGAUAGGCGAAACCUGAAAAUUAAAACUUUAUCCCCAACUAGAUCCCUUGAUUAGUGGUUAGAACAAGAUAUAUAAUUAUCGGAGUAUAAAAACUAAGUCCUUGCUUGUAAAGAGUAUUGCUUUCAAAUAAUGCGGAAUUGAUAAAUCAAUACUACUAAUAAGUCUAUGAGAAUAAAUCACAAGGGCUUAGAUAAGAAGAGUAAUGCUACGAGUUCUUUCUUGCAAUGUGUUGCCUCACUAAAUGAGAAUUUAACUUAAGGCAACACCAAAUAAGGUUAGCAAAGAAUAGUGCAAGGAAAAACCUAGAGUGAGGGAAAACAAACAAAUCACAAGCAAUAAACACAAUGGACACGGGUGAUUUGUUUUACCGAGGUUCGGCCCUCGAAGGCCUAGUCCCCGUUGAGGAGUCCACUUAAGGACGGGUCUUUUUCAACCCUUUCCCUCUCUCCACCGAUCACCCAAGGAUCGGCGAGCUCUUCUUCUUCUCAAGGAUCACUCUUGAUCCCACAAGGACCACCACACUCUUUGGUGUCUCUUGCUAGCUUUUACAAGCCUCCAAAACUUUGGGGGAAGUUCGAUGGGAGUCAAAACUCCACGCGCAAAUGAACACAAAGAUGUAGCACACACUAUCUCUCAAGGAAUCUCACAAGGCACUAGGGCUAAAUUCAAUUGAGUAGCUCUCAAUUGCUUGCUCUCUCUUUUGUGGCACUUGUGUUGGUUGUAGUGGUCUAAAUCUUGUGUAUAGGAUGGAUCAAUGAAUAUAUGUGGUUGGGAGGGCUUGAGUAUGUCAACUAGAUGACUUGGAAUGUUGUUUGGGCUCCCACACCUUGAAGUGGUCGGUUGGGGUGGUAUUUAUAGCCCUCAACCACCCAUAUAGCCGUUGGGGCGCAUCUGCCAGAAAUUGCACUGGCGGACGGUCCGCGGCUAGGGCCCGGACGGUCCGCGACCCUCCAACGGUCGAUUCUGACAUCUUCAACGGAUACUUCUGACAGAUCAACGGUUAGAUCAACGGCUAUCUGCCUUGGUGACACCACGCGAACGGUCCGCCCUUGGUCCCGGACGGUCCACGCCAGCUAUAUAAUUCCUUUUGCUCAACUUGUCACCUUCGGGCUUUUUGGUUCUGCACCGACCGAACGGUCCGCGCCUGAGGCCGGACGGUCCGCGCUUGGCCUCGGACAGAGCUUGCUUUUUCAUCGGACGAUCCGUAGUAGAGAUAUGUGUUUUUGCAUUGGUUCUGUCCGAGGAUCAUCCUGGUGUCGCGGACGGUCCGCCGCAGGGGCCCAGACGGUCCGCGCAUAGUCUGUUUUUCCAAAAAGCUUCUCCUGUCCGGAAUAAUCUACGGUAUUCCGGACAGUCGAUUUAGAAUAGUUGUAGAUGAACCUUUGACACCUGUAGAACAUAUAAUCUAGAGCAAACUAGUUAGUCCAAUUAUUUGUGUUGGGCAAUUCAAUCACCAAAAUCAUUUAGGAAAAGGUUUGACCCUAUUUCCCUUUCAAGCCCUAAGUACAUGCCGUCGUGGCAGUCGGAGAGGUUUUGGCACCCUGUUCAUGUGAUGUCGUGGCCGUCGGAGGAGAGCUGGAGCCGUGCGGAAGGACAGCUGUCGGGGCUGUCGAAUCCUUGCUGACGUCUCCUUGCUUCCGUAAGGGGCUGAGCGCCGCCGUCGUCAUGGGGCACGCGGGGCACCAUCAUUAUUUGUUUAUCGGGGCAAGCCAGAUGGGACGCCGGUCUUGUUCCCCGUAGCCUGAGCUAGCUAGGGGUAGGGUAAUGAUGGGCCCCCUGUGACGUGGUCGGUCCAAGCCCUAGGUCGGGCAAGGUGGAGGCUCCUCCGAGGUCGAGGUCGAGUCCGUCUUCCGGAGUCGAGGCUGAGUCCGACCCCUGGGGUCGGGCGAGGCGGAGUCCGUCUUCCGAGGUCGAGGUCGAGUCCGAGCCCUAGGGUCGAGGCUGAGUCCGACCCCUGGGGUCAGGCGAGGCGUAGUCCGUCUUCCGAGGUCGAGGUCGAGUCCGAGCCCUGGGGUCGGGCGAGGCGGAGACCGUCUUCCGAGGCUGAGGCUGUGUCCGAGCCCUGGGGUCGGGCGAGGCGGAGUUCGUCGUCUUCCGGAGCCGAGGCUGAGGCCGAACCCUGGGGUCGGGCGAGGUGGAGCUUCCUAUGUCGCCUGAGGCUGGACUUAGCUGCUGUCAGUCUCACUCUGUCGAGUGGCACAGCAGUCGGAGCGACACAAGCGGUGCUGUUUCCUUGCCAGGUCGGUCAGUGGAGCGGCGAAGUGACCGCGGUCACUUCGGCUCUGUCGACUGAAGAGCGCGCGUCAGGAUAAGGUGUCAGGCGAUCCUUGCAUUAAAUGCUCCUGCGAUACGGUCGGUUGGUGUGGCGAUCUGGCCAAUGUUGCUUCUCUGCGAAGACUGGGCCUCGGGCGAGCUGAAGGUGUGUCCGUUGCUUGAGGGGGCCCUCGGGCGAGACGUGAAUCCUCCGGGGUCGGCUGCCUUUGCCCGAGGCUGGGCUCGGGCGAGGCGAGAUCGUGUCCCUUGAGUGGACUGAGCCUUGACCUUAAUCGCGCCCAUCAGGCCUUUGCAGCUUCAUGCUGAUGGGGGUUACCAGCUGAGAUUAGGAGUCUUGGGGGUACCCCUAAUUAUGGUCCCCGACAGUAGCCCCCGAGCCUCGAAGGGAGUGUUGAUACUCGCUUGGAGGCUUUUGUCGCACUUUUUUGCAAGGGGACCGGCCUUUCUCGGUUGCAUUUCGUUCCGGUGGGUGCGCACGAGCGCACCCGCCGGGUGUAGCCCCCGAGGCCUCGGAGGAGUGGUUUGACUCCUUCGAGGUCUUAGCGCAUUUCGUGAUGCUUCGGCCGGUCUGGUUGUUCCCUCAUGCGAACUGGCCGUAGCCCGGGUGCAUAGUCGAAUCCCAAGUUCUCGGGCUGGUAUGUUGACGCUGUCAAUGGUUUGGCUGGAGCCGGGUUUGCGAGAGCAGCCCCCGAGCCUCUGCACAGAGCGAGAGGACGGUCAAGGACAGACUUGGCUUUUUUUCAUAUGCCCCUGUGUCGCCUUUCCGCAAGGAGGAGGGGGGAAAGCGCCAUGUUGCCCUCGGAGGGCGCCGAACAUGGUGUCUCCAGUGAGUUGCUAACGGGUAAUCCGAGUGGACGCCCGUGCCCCAUUCGUUAGGGGUCGGCUAGUGGCCCGGAGGCGCGCUCCAAAAGUACCUGCGGGUGAUUCGCCGGACCCGGUCCCCUUUUGAUGGGUCCGAUGGCUCGAUGCCUCCCUCUGGUGGGAUUCCGUUACAAAAUCGUUCCCGUCGGUCUCGGAAAUGUCCUAGGGUACCUCGGGAGCGUAGCCCGAGCCUUGGUUAUGUAUCGAACGUACCUAGGGUCAUCCCUCGCUCUGCGUGCUCUGAGGCGGCUGUCAAACCCUUCGGGGGCCAGCCUACGAACCCCUGAUCAGUAGUGGGCGCGGAGCCCGAGUGGCCUGAGGCGGCCGUUGAACCCUUCCGAGGAGCCAGCCUUCGAACCUCUGACCAGUAGUGGGCGCAGAGCCCGAGUGCUCUGAGGCGGCUGUUGAACCCUUCCGAGGGGCCAGCCUUCGAACCUCUGAUCAGUAGGGGGGCUCGGGGCCCGCUUCCUUCGCGGAGAAGGAUCCUUUUCGGAGUAUCCCCUUUCCCGGUCCCUGUAGCAAGAGAGAGAAAGAGGAAGUGGAAAAGGAUACGAAAUCGAAUGACGUGGCACACCUUUUUUGACGCGGUCAUCAUGGCAGAGGUGAAGCGUCGCCUGCUUUGCCUACCAAAGGUGCCGCCUGCC